UGCAUCAACAGUGCGAAGGUAAUUAAAUUACCUUCGCACUGUUCAAACGUUAUUUGAAUCAACGAAGAACAGAAAAGAAAGAAAAAAAAUGUAUAGCGAAGGCGCACCUGUUUCUGGCGAUUGAAGAAGAUCGCGAUGCUGGUGACUGUUGCCCUCGUCCGGCUACUCUCCCUUCUCUCCCCGCUGUGACCUCUCUGUUUUCCUUGCUUUUGAUUUCUCGAUUCUCAGUGUGAAGAAGCUGAGAGGUAAUGGGUUCUUUGAGGUUUUUUACUGAUUUCGGGUUGCUUUUUCUGCAGGGAUUCUCCUAAUGGAAGAUAAUUCUCCUUUUUAGUCUGGUUUCUCGUUCUUGCUUUCAAUCUGUUUUUUUUUUUUGCUCUGUUUUCUCGUUGUUCUCUGUUUUUUUUUCUGGGUUGUAUUUUUGAUUGCUCUGUUUUUCUCUAGGUUUCCUCCUUCUCUCUGGUGUGCCUUCUCUCCUUUUAUAGAGACCCAGCCCCUAACCAGUCCUGCCUUUGCAGGACUGUUAUCUUCCACGAACGAGAUCGUGGGCGAGAGCCGUGAUCCACGAUUGGAUCAAAUCCGUUGCAGAUUUUCAGCCUGUUGAAUCGGGAUGGAGAAGACGAACACGGCUAUUCGCAACGACGACGUUUUGGCAACUGUAUUCCUAGUAUCAACGGCAUCGUUUCGGCAACAGUGGCAUUUUCAUUUUGACCCCUGAACUUUGGAAUUGUAACCGUUGGAUCUCAAUUGAAUAAAAAUUCCUUUUAAUUUUGCCCCUUUUUUAUAAGUUUCAAUUAAAUCCCUCAAUUGGUGCAUUGUUUACAAAACAGUCCUUAAUUCCUGGAUUAUUCAAUUUGAUCCUUAAUUAAUUCUUUCAAUUUUGCCCUUUUUUGGAUAAAUUUCAAUUAAGUCCCUGAAUUUAUUUAAUUAAUUAAAUCAAAGUUUAAUUAAGUCCACAAACUUAUUAAUUAUUUAAUUUCAUUAAUUAAACUAAUCUAAAUUUUAAGUAAAUUUCCAAACUUAUUAAAUCUUCAAUUUCUGACCAAUUUAUUCUCAAAUCUGAUAAUUUUAUCCAUAAACAUCAAGAUUUGUUCUCUUAACCCAAUUGUCAACUAUAUUUAAUUUUUAUUAUUUUGUUCAAAAAUUGGGUUAUGACAAUGUGCAUAACAUCAGACAUUGUAGGCCGAUCAGCAGGAAUUUCUUGGACACAAAGGAGUCCUAUGUUUAUGUAUCUCAACAACGUAGAAGUUGAAGGAGGAUCGAUCUCCCAGGAUUGGAUCCAUCAAGUCCAAAGCUUUAUUAGAAUAUUUCCAUAACUUCCAUGCCUAUGGUAUAACAACGCAAAUGCUGCAUCAUUAGUGUGGAAACUAGGAAAGUAGUCAAAUACAAAUCAAAAUGGAAGAAAAAGAAAUAAGCGUAUAUGAAAGCUCCCCACAUGUCCAAGAAGAUUGAGGGAGUCGCUGUGGUAGAAACUAGUAUUCUUCCUGACGCUUACAAUCUCAAGUACCAGCACCCCGAAGCUAAACACAUCAGAUUUUAUCGAGAAGAGGCCCUCCAUAGCAUAUUCAGGGGACAUAUAGCCACUAAAAAUUGGAAAGGUCAGUGCAGAUCAUGUUAAGAGUAGCUGUUACUGCAAAGUGGAAUUCAAUAAACGUACUAAGUUCCAACGACCCUGCUGGUGUUUGCUUGAGUUUCGUUGCCUCCGAAAAUUCGAGCCAUCCAGAAUCGGAUAUUUUUGGAUUCAUUUCACUGUGUAAUAGAAUAUUGCUAGGUUUUAAAUCCCUGUAAAUGAUUCGUAACUGUUGCUACCAAUUUUUUAUUUUUAUUUUAUUUUGGAAAAAAUUUCAAAAAAACCAAAAUAUAACAAAAAACUAAAAAAUAUAUUCUUCAAGUCUUUGCGUCGUCGUCUGUCGUCUGUAGUGUUUUUUUCUACGCGUUCUUGUUAACCCAGUUCAAAAAUGUCGUUUUCAAAUAUUAAUGUCUGUCUUCCAGAGAGAGAAUGGCCACUCAAAAGGAUAUCAGCUCCAAUGGAAAAGCAAGUCUUGUGAGAAACGAAUAGCAACAAUAGCACAAAAAGCAAGAAACCUGGCUUUGUCACGUCGCGCCUCCUCUUUAAUUCGUGGGAUUAAUGGUGUUUGAACAAAAAAUCCCCUUUGAAUUUAGCAACUAUAAGAAUACUGUCUCUAACAUAUUGUUGCGAUCAGCUUUAAUUUCCCUUUAAUUUUCGACGUUGACUUGGACUUCACGUUCGCACUAUCCCCUCCAAUUUAGGGCUUUGGCAUUGUAUUUUUUGAGUCACAUAAUCAAUAAUAUAAUGCAUGAAAGAAAGAGAAAUUUAGAUUUUUCAAAGCCAGAAACUUAUAAAUGAGAAAUUCUAUAUAGUAUAAUUUAAUUAGUGUAUUGUAUGUUCUUUUUUUUUUUUUUGAAAUACAAUAAUGAUCAUUGGUGCUCCAGGGUGUUAUAAUUUAUUUAUUUUUGAAAACAAUUGAAGAGGAGAAAAUAAGGGAGUGUUCAGUAAUAGAAAAUAUUUAUUGGAUAAAUUAUUCUUUUCUUAUUCGUUUAUUUUUUUACUAAAAUAUUUUUUUAUUAGUAGCAUGUUUCUUCUUCUUUCUUCUUCUUUUAUUUGAGAAAAGCCCCUUUGUUUUUUUUUCUGGCCCUUUUCUUUUAUUUUUUAAUACUAUAAAUUUAAAUACUGUUUAUUAAAUCAGUCUGUAAUUUAAUUCUGAAAUUCAAGCAAACACCUUAAUUUUCAAGUAUUUCAAAACAAAAUAUCACAAACAACGUGUGAAAAUAUAUAAUUGAAAAAAAGAAAUCAUUUAUUAAAACAUAAAAUAAAAAGAAAAUGGGUCUGUCAUCACAAUGCAUUGUGAAAGGAUACAUGUAGGCUGUCGUAAGUGCAAGAAUUUCAAAGUGCAAUUGAAAAAAAGUUGACACUUUCUUGUCGUUACAAUUUUCUUUCGUUAGAAAAGAAAUUUACUGUCAAAUUUAGCUUAAUACCAGUACUGGGAAUCCAUCAGAACCCCUUCUAGCUCUUGCAUUAUCAGACAUCUAAUAAAGCAUCCAAAAAUCUAAGAUUAACAUAUAAGAAAAUCGCAAUGGUUAUUUCAAUUCUAUAAAAACCCCAUCAGAGACACAGGAUUUGUCUUUCAUUUAUCAAAGAACAAUUUAACAGGAAAAUCCUACUUCCAAACAGAGAAUCUUGUAGAAGUAAAGACAAAAACAAGCAAACAGACUUAGUACUGUCGAAUAUCUAGUGGCAACUCCUUAGUUUUGUUCCUUAAUAAAUGCAACCACACCAGGCAAUCUUCAAAAUAUCAGCACCCCCUCAGCAAAACCAGUUAUUCAGGCAAUCAGGGUGACGAGCUGCUUGGAAGGAAGGAAGGAAGGAAGGUAUUGGACUGGCUGUGUCAGUGUUGGCCUGUUGGGCCCAUUUAGCCUACUCAACCGCUUCAAGCCUUCAGCUAAAGGGACAUCUUUAUAAUCUGACCACAUUGCCUUUUCUUUGAAAUAAAAACAUGUACUAGCAUUUAGUUGCAGGUAGAAGGGGACGAUCGCUUUCUUUUCUUCCCAUGCUGUUCUUGUUUCUGCUUUGAUCUCUUAUGCCAGUUUGGUUACAGGGAUUUCCAGCAGUUUCCAUUGCAGGUGAGCUUUUCUAGCCUUAGCAACAACAUCUAGUCUGAAUUCUGAUAGAUAUAAGUAAUUGGUGUCUUGAAGAGUUUGUUUGGUGCACAGGAAGCAGUCGAGUUAUCAGCAUCUGACGGGCUAAUUAUGUGGUAUUAUAAGAUGAAUUUGUACUCAAAGGAAAAUGAGUUUUUAAUAUAUUUAAGAUCUGAAUUAAAUGGUUCUAUGAACACUUGAUUUGACGUUGUUCAUGUUUCAAUACAAUGAAAAUAAUAGGAAAAACUGAAACAAACAAUUGUACGAUUCAAAUCGGAGAACUUAUACAAAUAAACUUGAUCUAAGCUUGAACUUAUACAAUUGUACUUUUCAUUACAGUGUCAUAACCUAAUUUUUUUAUUUUAUUUUUUAAAAAAUAAACGAUGAUAAAAAAAUGAAAAAAUAAAUGAAAUGAAGAAAAUGAAAAAAUGAAUGAAAUAGAAAAAAAUGAAAUGAAUGAAGAAUAAAUUGAAAUUUAGGUAAAGACAAUAUAAAUUAGAAGUUUGAGAACUUAAAUAAACUUUGAAUUACUUAAUUAAUCAAAUCAAAAGCUUAAUUAAAUAUUUAAUAAGUUUGGGGACUUAAUUCAACUUGAAAUUAGUUUAAUUAAAUAAGGGGCUUAAUUGAAUAAAUACUAAAAUUUGAGGCUGAUUUGGGUCAAAAUUACAAAGUAAAAGUCCAAAAACUAAAGAGAAAAGAAGGGGGUACUGUAUGGAGCUUAAUUAUUUAAUUAUUUUUUGCAGGGGUAAUUUUGAAAACAUAAAAGGUUGAAGAGUCAAUUAAAGACUGAAUUAAAAAGUUCGAAAUCAAGGACUUUUCUGUGAAAUUCUCUAAACUAUAGGGGUCCAAUUAUAAUUUACCCAGGGACUUGGAUACAAAGUUUCAUAAAGAGUGACCAAAAUGAAAAUGGCCAUUCCCAUCCGGAACAUCUGGAAGGAGAAACGGCAGCAAAUGAACGGAAGCCUGCCGUUACAAAGGCAAGAACGCAAGGCAUUCUCUGGCUUUAUAAAAGCCGGAGAAAGGGCAUGACGAGGAGGGAGGAAAAAGACACGAACAAGAAAAGAACGAACGGAGAGAAAAACCAGAGAAGCAAGGAUAGAGAGAGAGAGAGAGAGAGAGAGAACCAGAGACACAGACAUGGAGGAACAAACAGGGCGAACCAGCACGGAAACAGGGACGCAAAACACAAAAGAAAACAGAUAGGAAACCAGAAGAACAAGCAAACACAGGAGACAAAGUAAAUACAGACAGAACAAAAGAGAAGAACGAAUAACACAGAGACGAGACGAAGAGCAGGAGACAGACAAAAACAUACAGAGAGCCGGGAAGCAGAAAAGGAAGGAAACAAAAAAAGAGAGAGCACAGGAAGAGAAGGCUAAGGAACAGAGAGAGGACAAAACCAAUUCAAACCGGUUUGCUCAGUUUUUUCCAAUUUAGCUUAGUUUUUUUUUUUGGCUCGGUUUUUUCUGGUUUUUUUCGGUUUGGGUUUGGUUUGAGGUUUUUAGUUCUUUUCUUAUGAAACCAAAACCGAAACCGAACCAAACCAAACCAACCAGUUUUUUUAAAAUUUUAAUCGGUUUAAUUUGUUUUUUUUACAGUUCAGUUUUUUCAAUUAUUUUUUUUUGGUUUUCUUUGUUUUUCAAUUUUUUUGUUUACCUUUAAGUGUGACCAACCAGGUCACUAGUUUGUUCCAGUGACUAGCUAGGCCAGACUUAUGCCAGUGAUCAGGCCGAGCUAAUUAUGUUCAGUUCAAACGAGCUGAGCUGGAUUUAGGAAAAAAAAAAAAAACUGAGGUAAGGCUGACCAGAGCUUCAACCCAUCCAAUCUAAUUUGUUUUUGGUCAAGGGUGUUUUUUUUUUUUAAACAAUUUCUUAUGCUAAUCUUCUUAUUUUAUUUAUUUGUUUUGAUAUUUGGUCAAACAAAUUUUUUUUUAUUAAAAAUUUUAAAAACAUUUGUGGACCUUUUUUAAUUUAUUUGCAGGUCCCUCGAGUAUUUGUUUUCCUAACAAUUUCAUUAUAUAUUUAAUUUUUAUUUUUACUGUAAAAUACGAAUUUUGUAUACGAUACAUACCUGUUUUGUUUUUUACAAAAAUAACAAAAAAUAUAUAUAUUUCUUCUUUUCAAUUCAAAUUUUAUUGGUUUAUUCACUAAGGCCAGAACCAGAAAUACUAUAUAUUUUUUGGCUGCGUAAUAUUUACCAACACCAGAAUUAAAAAUACUUUUAAUUGAAUAUUUGCUGAUGCUAGAAUCAUGAAUAAUACAAACAGACUAUCGGUAAUAUAGUAUAACAAACUUUAGUAAUUUAAAAUAAAAUCAACAAUGAAGUUUAUUUUAGGUAGAAUUGUAAAAAAUGAUAAUUUUUUUUUUGCAACUAGUUUCAUAUUAAAAAGUUUUUAUUGAUGAAUUAAGAGUUUUAGUAAUUAUAAUAAUAAUAGAUGAUUAGUUUUUAAAGAAUUUUUUUUUUAAUCUAAAAAUUAAAAUGUCAAAAAACAUGUUCUUUUCUGCAAAUUAAAAUUUUAAAAGUUACCAUAUCGAUACGAUAACCAGUAACUUCAAGAUUUAAUUAAAUUAAGUCUACCAGCAGACAACGGAAAUUAAAGAAAGAACCAGGAUGUACCUCUGUGCAUGAGCUUUCCUUUGCGCAGACAUGAAGUACAUGAAGAGGCCGAAGGUAAUCAGAUUAGUUGGAAUAGCCACAGCCAAGGUUGUCCGUAUUGUCCUUUUGAUAUUACCUACUUGUAAAUAUAGAGAUCAAAUAUUACAAAAUCAUAAACCAACACCUGACCUUUUGAUAUUAUAAUAUUCUUCUAUUAUUUCAAUCAAUGAAAAGAUUACAAUAUAUAUACUGAUAGUUCUACAUCAUGAUCCUGCACUAUUGCCUAUAAUCAAGCCUAAUUAUUUACAAACAAGGAAACAAAAUAAUUAACGUUCAAUACAAAUUUGCUGCCUAUUCAGUGCUGAUUUGGUUGCCUAAUCAGUGCUUGAUUUCCUUAACACUCCCCCUCAAGUUGGAGUGUAUAUUAAUUAACCCAACUUGCUAAGUAAAUUCUCAAACGUGUGGAGCUCAAUGGCUUAGUAAAUAAGUCUGCUGGUUGCUGUGUAGUUCGAAUGUAGGAUGUCUGAAUCAUUCCUGCUUGAAAUCUUCUCACGUAUCAAGUGACAAUCUAUUGUUCGAUAUGCUUCGUUCGCUCAUGAAAUACUGAUUGGAUGCGAUGUGCAUUGCUGCUUGAUUAUCACAGAAUAGAGUCACUGGCUGUGCGUGAUUUAUCUUCAAGUCCUUUAAAAAUAUUUUUCAGCCAUGUAAUCUCGCAGCAUGUAGUAGCCAUAGAGCGGUAUCUGCCUCUGCACUUGAACGCGAUACUGUCGUCUGUUUCUUGUCCUCCAAGAAAUAGGUGCCCUCCAAGUAAAAUGCAAUAACCAGUAACUGAUCUCCUUGUGUCCUUAACAACGAGCCCAAUCAGCAUCACAAAAUGCUUGUAACUGAAAGGUUUACCCGUGUGGUAACAUGACCCUGUCCAGGUGUUUGCUUGAUAUAUUGAGGACUUGAUGAGCUGCUGCUAGAUGGGGUUGCCGAGGUUUGUCCAUAACUGACUUAAAUGUGUACAACAUAAGUCAAGUCAGGUCUAGUUAUAGUCAGAUAUAUCAACCUUCCAACUAACCUUCUGUAUGCUAAUCCAUCCUCCAAGAGCUCCCAUCAGAUUGUGUCAAUGAUACAUUUUGGUCCAAAGGAAACCGAGAUGGCUGGCACCCAAAAAUCCUGUAUCAUUCAAAAUGUUCAAGGGCGGUAUUUUCUCUGUGACAAACUGAUCCCAUCCCGUGAUCUUGCAACUUCUAUGCCAAGGAAGUACUUAAGUUGUCCCAAGUCUUUCAGCUUGAAUUGUCUGGACAAGAAAAGCUUGGUGUUCUCUAUGUCCUGCAAAUUGUUUCCAGCCAAUAUCACAUCAUCCACAUAUAUCAGUAAUGCUAGAAAGUUACCCUGAUAGCUGCGAACGAACAAAGAAUAAUCAGAUAAAGACUGGUGGAAUCCUGCAGCCUUGAGUGCAUUGGACAGCUUGGUAAACCACUGUCUGGAGGCUUGUUUCAAGCCAUAUAGAGAUUUAUGGAGUUUACAAACUCGUGUCGCCAUUCAAGAAUGCAUUGUUGACAUCUAAUUGGUGGAGAUGCCAACCAUGAAAAGCUGCCACACUGAGUAAGACACGGACAAUGACCAUUUUUGCGACAGGGGCGAAGGUUUCCUGGUAAUCAACUCCUUCAAUUUGGUUGUAUCCCUUAGCCACCAGUCCGGCCUUAUACCGUUCAACUGUCCCAUCAGCUUUCAACUUGAUCAUAUAGACCCAUUUACAGCCGAUUGGCCGUUUAUGAGAAGGCAAGGGAACCAAGCUCCAAGUUCCAGUAGCCUGUAAAGCAGCAAUUUCAAGAUGCAUGGCCUCACGCCACUGUGGAUGCUGAACAGCCUGGGAAAAACUGGUAGGUUCUUUAAGAAGGGUGAGCUGAGUGGUAUAAGCUUUAUGAUUGGGAGAAAGAUGAGCAUAAGAUAAGUAAGAACAAAGAGCAUAAACAGUACCUGAAGUAUGGACCAAGUUCGUAGAGGAUGACGGUUCAGUCCUUGAAGGGAGGGUCAUGCCGAGGUGAAAGUCCUACAGAUAAGAAGGAGUGGUAAUUGAUCGAUGGCCACGACGAAGAGGUUGAGUGGGAAUAGGAGAGGAGUCGGGUUGAGUGGUCUGUGAGGAAUCAAGUAUGUGUGGGGUAGGGGUGGCCGGAGAGGGAAGAUCAUUGAGUGUUUGAUGGGUAGCAGGAGGAGGGGGUGCAAAGUCUAUGUCAAAAGGUAAAAAUGAAUUGGGAGUGGGAGAAGUAUCAGCACGUGGUGUGAGGGAAGGAAAUAUAUUUUCAAAGAAAACGACAUCCCUUGAUACUAUGACCCGUUUUGUAGCUAGAUCAAAGACUCGAUAUCCCUUUUUCCCAUAAGGAUACCCAAGAAAAAUACAUUUAGAUGCUCGAGGAUCAAAUUUGGAGCGACUCUGUGCAUGAGUGGAAACAAAACAUAAGCAACCAAAUACUCGUAAGUGGGAGUAAUUGGGAAUUAUGUUAAAUAAUUUUUCAUAUGGUGUCUUUUCGUGGAGAAUAGGGGUUGGUGUGCGAUUGAUGAGGUAAGCGGAAGCAAGAAUAGCAUCCCCCCAAAAUUGAUGAGAAAGACCGGCCUGAAUAAGUAAGGCACGUGCCAUAUUUAACAAAUGUCUAUGUUUACGUUCAGCAACACCAUUUUGUUGUGGAGUAUUAAUGCAACUAGUUUGGUGAAUGAUACCUUUAUUAGCGUAAAAGCUUUCGAGUUUGAAUUCAAGACCAUUGUCACUACGAAUAAUUUUGACCUUGAAAUCAAAUUGAUUUUCAACCAUGUUGAUGAAGUUGACUAGAAGAUCCUUAGUGUCUAAUUUGUGUUUCAUAAGAUAAAUCCAUGUGCAUCUAGUGUGAUCAUCAACGAUAGUGAGAAAAUAUUUUGCACCUGAAAGAGAAGCAAUUUUAUAACCACCCCAAAUGUCAACAUGGAUUAAAUCAAAUGGAGAUGUACUGGUAAUGGAACUUGAAGAAAAUGGAAGUCUUGUUUGUUUUGCUAAUGGACAAAUUAAACAUUUGUCAUGAGAACAAGAAUUAACUUUAGGAAAUAACUGGGAUACUUUGGUUGAGGGAUGUCCAAGACGUUGAUGCCAAAGGUUCGGAUGAAGAGUUUGGGCAUGGUUGCAUGUUCCUUUCUUGGCUUGGUCGAGAAAAUAUAGACCCUCCCUUUCAAUUCCCGUCCCAAUCAUCUUCCCCGAACGUAGGUCCUGAAUCACACAAAACUGGCUUAGAAAGAUGGUUAUACAAGAGGAAUCAGAUGCAAGCUUGCUAAUUGAAAUCAAGUUCAAUCGGAAAUAUGGGACACACAAAACAUUGUCAAGAAUUAAUAGCCAAGUUGAUGACACUUGUGGCAAUUUCUUUGGACAUGGAUCCUAAUAGCCAAGUUUUCACCAGACUAUUGCAUCGGUUCCAUUGUUGAUGUUCAUCAAACUUCUUCUCAUCAGGCUCCUUCAUUGAGCCAUCUAUGAACCCAAUCUUAUUUUUAACUGUCAAAGCCAUAGUCAUGGAUUGGCUCCAUGUACUAUAGUUGUCUUCAACCAAGGAUUGUGGCACAAGAACAGCGCCAGGUUGGUCUGAAUGAUGAAGAUAAAGUUGAUGAUUGGGAUGAUCCCAUCUUGCGCCUGCUGCUGUGCUUCCUUGGUCUGCCAUAGGAGUCGGCUGAAGGCUUUGUGUUUUAUUUUGAUACCUAGACUAUUGCUCUGAUACCAUGAAGAGAAAUAAUAUUCUUCUUAUUAUUUCAAUCAAUGAAAAGAUUACAAUAUAUAUACUGAUAGUUCUACAUCAGGAUCCUGCACUAUUGCCUAUAAUCAAGCCUAAUUAUUUACAAACAAGGAAACAAAUAAUUAACGGUUCAAUUACAAAUUUGCUGCCUAUUCAGUGCUGAUUUGGUUGCCUAAUCAGUGCUUGAUUUCCUUAACAUGUAAAUAUAGAGAUCAAAUAUUACAAAAUCAUAAACCAACACCUGUACACUGGAUUAAGAAGUUUUUUUAUUGUAGAAAAAAAUGGAAAGAUAGGUUAUGUCAGGGAACACUGCGUCCGCGUUUUUGACCGUCAUUUUGUCAAAAAUGGUUUCUCGUCAUUUAUUGGAUCAUACUGUCUAUAUGUACAAAGCCAUACCUGUUCGGGUACUGCCAUUACCAAUCUGUUGUUCAAGCUCAGAAGCAGCAAGUCUGAUGUAAAUUUCUGCUCCAGCCCGGCCAUCAGCAACCCCUGGAUGGUGUUGUAAGUUUAUAAGAUCUCCUUCCCAUAAAGAACACCCACUGUUAUAAUUAUAGGCAUAAGCCACGCAAGAACAAUUUUCCAAGCAAUCCAAUCUACAUCUUUCAGCACUCACUCUCUGAUAUGUUUUUGAAUUUGCAGGUAAUGUCAGAUUCGAAAUCUUUAGGAAUCCAUCUUCCUUUCCAACACUUCUCUUAUUUUGACACUGCAAAGGAGAUUUCCUAACACAACCACUUGACCAAUCAUUUUGCACUAAUGGUUUAAAACCUCUCAGGCAUUCACAAAAGCUCGAUGAAUUUCCUUGAAAGACUCCAAAAACCCCGCAUAAACCAUAAAAUUCAGCUUGGUCUCUUGGUUGAGCACAAAAAAGAGCCCAAAAAAGACGCCAAUCAAACCAUGCGAGUUGUUGCAUCUGUCCUGAAGCAUCAAUCACGGUUCUUGAAAGAUAUGAGUUAUUGUACAAAGAAUAGGUGAAGUAGCUUUCAUUUUCAUUUGAUACAUAACUAUAGUUGAAAAUAUGGCUCGAUGUCAUCUCAGGUACCAAGGCAAAUCUUUCUCCAUCCCAAUCACCACUGCUCCAAUACCUGUGUGACCUGUUCCACUCUAUGAAAAGCUGACUGCUUCCAUUUGGGUCGAUCCCAAUCGAGAACAUACCUGGUGCAGGAUCUUCUGAGUUUUUCCAGGAAAUAAGCCGCUGCACUUGCCCAGUGUGCUUGUUGAUUCCAAGCUUUCCACCAGGUAGCCAUGUGUCAGUUGGAUAAUCGAAACUCUGCCAAUAUAUGGUAGGUGGAUUUGAGCCAUCACUUACGACAAAGUUUCCAUCAUCAAGAAGUACUGCUUCUGCUGUACUAGUAUUCGACAUUGAAGAUGCAAGAGCUGUUGACCAAACUGUUUCGGUGAAAUAUGUCUGUAGGACAAGAUUGCCAUCAGAUAACAAUUCAAGCUUCGAUGAACCAGGGUCGUUGGAAGGGCUCUCCCUAUUUGCUACCCAAACAGUCGCCUUAUAUCCGAAGUUCUUAUACCAUAUUCCCAGGUAAAUGCCUAAAGAAGCGCUUGGCUGGAAGAAACCGAGUUCAAAAGCGCCGUUUCGAGAUAUUAGGGUCUCGCUUGCAGAGAGAGAUUGGCCAACCAAAAGGGUAUCACCUACAAUGGAGAAGCAAGUCCUAUGGGAAACGAAUAGCAACAACAGCAUAAAGAGCAAAAAACGUGGCUUUGUCUCAACACACAUCCUUUCUAAUUCGUGGGAUUAAGGGUGAAAGAGCUGUGACUGAGCAUGAAUCAGAGAAAGAGGAAGGGAAAAAAACAAGAAAUCCCCUGUGAAUUCAUCAACUAUAUGAUAAUGCUCUAGAUCUCUUGUCAUAUUGUAGCUGUCAGCUCUUACCAAUAAUUUUCCACAUUGACUUGGACUUUCCUUUUCUCGGUAUCCUCUCCAAUUAGAGGCUAUGCCAUUUGUUUAAUGAGUCAUGUAAUGCUGAAAUGGGGGUUGAAUUGUCAAAUUACAGUAAAAAUAUCAAUAAUAUAAGGCAUUGAAGAAAGAGAAUUUUUUUUUUUUUGAAAUCUAGAACUUAAAUGUAAAUUUCUAUACAAUAUAUUUUUGUUUAUUGUUUUUACUUAUAUUUUAUUGAAAUUCAUGAUCUAGAUUCAGUUUCAAGUGUAUUAUAUGCUCUUAGUUUUUUUUUUUUGAAAAAAAAUCAUUGGUGCUCUAGAGUGUUUUCAUUGUAUUUUAAAAAUUGUAUCGAGGAAGAGCAGAGAAAGAGAGAGGGGUGUAUUAUAUGCUCUCGCUUUCCCUUUUGAAUUUAGCAACUAUGCGAAUACUCUGUCUCUAACAUAUUGUUGCUAUCAGCUUUCCCUUUUCGACGUUGACUUGGACUUCACGUUCGCACUAUCCCCUCCAAUUUAAGGCUUUGGCAUUGUAUUUUUUGAGUCACGUUAUCAAUAAUAUAAUGCAUGAAAGAAAGAGAAAUUUAGAUUUUUCAAAGCCAAAAACAUAAAAUAUCACAACAGCACGUGAAAAGAUACAAUUGAAAAAAAGAAAUCAUUUAUUAAAACAUAAAAUAAAAAGAAAAUGGCUCUGUCAUCGACAAUGCAUGGUGAAAGGAGACAUGUAGGCUGUCGUAUGUGCAAGAAUUUCAAAGUGCAAGAAUCUUGUAUAAGUAAAGACAAAAACAAGCAGACAGACUUAGUAUUAAGAAAUUUAUUUUAACCUUGCUGGAAAAUCUGGACAAAACAGUCUUGAGGUUGAAGAUUAUUAAAUUUUAAUCCUUGAUUUAUGAAAAUUAUAGUUUAGUUUCUAAAAUUUAAAAAUAUAUAAUCUGAUCCCUAAAUGUAUUUUGAGAUUCUGAACAAUGUUAUUAUGAGGUUAAGAAUGAUGAAUCUCAGUUUGAUAAUUGAUUUGGAAUAUUUUUAGGUUUUUCCUUAAUUUUGAAAAUUUACAUUUUAGUCCCUGAACUUUAUAAAAAUUACAGUUCAGGCCCUAGUUCGUUCUAGACAGAAUUGAGGAUGGUUUAUUGGUGGAAUUUCAGUAUGCUUAUAUAUUUACAUUUUGGUCCUUCAAUUUUGGAAAAAUUAUGUUUUGGUCCCUGUUUUGAAAAAUUAUCGUUUUAGUCCCUAAACAUAGGAGACUAAACCUGGUUUUCUUUCAUGCGUUGGGAUAUUUUAUGUGUUCUUUUGAGUUGCUAUUGAGUAUAUUUUAUAUAUUUGUUGUAGGUUCUCCUAACGAUACUCAAUAGAUUUUUCAGGUCUUUCAUUUGAUAUUCCUUUUAAUCUAUAUUUUUCCGGGUGAGAUGGGAUAAUUUUUAAUAUACAUAUAAUAUAAAUAAAUAUGUAUAUUGAUUAUACGAUGAGUACGCUUAGUUAAUUUCUUGAAUAUUUAUAUAUUUUAUUUUAUUUUUCGAGUACUUAUUUAUUGAAUUUGCACUCGUAAUCUGUCGAACUAAAUUUCAUUUGAUAUAAUAUAUAGUUUCUUUGAUCAUUCUAUGAAUAUCUAUUAUGUCUUGAUAUAGAACUUGUCAAUAACUCCAUUCUAAAAUAUAUAUUGUUGUUUUAAUGUUUAGUCAAAACAAUUAAUUUUAUAUAUAAAAUUUUAAAAAAUAAAUGAAUCUGAUAUUAUUAUAUUUCACCCAGAUUUAAUUAGAUUAAUUACUGGAUUUAAUUCCCAACUCAAUUCAAAAAAUCAAAACAAUCCAGGCCAGGUUUGAUUUGACGGGUCAUCUGAUAUUAAUAUUGAUGAUUAAAGUAAACACUAUUACUGAUUAAAGUAAUCACAUGUUGCUAAAUAAAAAAUAUUAUAUAUCAAGAUAAACUUGCCACAGCAUGAUCUCUCAUUUACAGCUUUUAAUAAAAAUCUAGCCUCUGGAAUUCAACUGCUACGCCUACUAUAAUUACAUGUAAUUAAGUGCAUCUAAGACUGUAUACCUAAUUAUUAAACCUUUUUCCCCAUGACCCUCCCUGGUUCCUACAUAAAUCCAAUGAUAUCUUGGUAUUAAAAGAAACAAUCAUCUGGCAUCUAUCGCUGUUAUUGUCACAUUAGUAACGGAAGAUGCCCCAGCAGAGCUCAUCAAUUGAUGACCUUGGUUCUGCCAUGUUUCUGCCUGCAACAAACGCAGGUUGCUAGGGUUCCGGGAGAGAUACGCGGUCCUUUACAAUCAUGGAGAUGACAUCAGACAUUGUAGUCCGAUCAUCAGGGAUUUGUUGGACACAAAGGAGUCCUAUGUUUAUGUAUCUCAACAACGUAGAAGUUGAAGGAGGAUCUCCCAGGCUUGGAUCCAUCAAGUCCAAAGCUUUAUUAGAAUAUUUCCAUAACUUCCAUGCCUAUGGUAUAACAACGCAAAGUUGCAUCGUUAGAGUGGAGACUAGGAACGUAAUCAAAUAAAAUUCAAGCAGGAAGAAAAAGAAAAAGGGAGUAUAUGAAAGCUUCCCACAUGUUCAAGAAGAUGGAGGGAGUCGCUGUGGUAGAAACUAGUAUUCUUCUCGCCGCUCACAAUCUCAAGUACCAGCAACCCGAAGCUAAACACAUCAGAUUUUAUGGAGAAGAGACCCUCCAUAGCAUAUUCAGGGAACAUAUAGCCACUAACAUUUGAAAAGGUCAGCGCAGAUCAUGUUAAGAGUAGCAUGUCCUGGAAAACAGAAUUUAAGAAACUUACUGUGUUCCAACGAUCCUGUUGGUAUUUGCUUGAGUUUCAUUGCCUCUGAAAAUUCGAGCCAUCCCGAAAUCGGAUAUUUUUGGAAUAGAAUGUUUCCCAAUUAAAUGAACCAAAGUCCUUCUGAGAGUUUAUUCAAACUAUUUUAACAUUUUUCUUAGGAUAAUCAGGAUUUCUCAUUUGAACGUAAACUUACGUUAUAAACAGGUCCGAAUCCUCCCUCUCCAAGCCUAUCUGAGAACUGUCCAGUUGCAACUAAUGGCAAUUCCAUACUUUUAUUCCAUCUUUUCUUCCCAUUGCCAACAGAGCUAGAUUCAUUGCUUGUUGAGCUAGGAUCGGUAUCGAAAUCAAAGAGCAAUAAAUUGUGACUUGCAUGUUCCUUCCCGGUUUAAGAAAAAUUAAAAAUGACUGAACAUAAUCACUUUUUUGAACACAAUCACGCUUUUAUAACUUUAUAUAGAUAAAAUUUUAUGGCAAGUAAUAAUAUAAAAAAUACAAACACUACAAGAUUUCACAGUUUUACCGACGGAAAUAUUCCGUCGGUGUGUGACAGAACGUUCGUCGGUAAAGUAUUUACCGACUAUAUUACCGACGGAAUACGCCCGUCGGAAUACCUUUUGUCGGUGAUUCCACAUUCCGUCGCUAUAUCGGUCGGUAAUAAAAAAAAACACAUUUACCGACGGCCCGUGCGCGCCAAAAAAAAACGUUUCCCGCUUGGAAUAUAUUCCGUCGGUGUUAUGUAAAUACCGACGGACUACCUCCGUCGGCAAAAGUGUCGGUGAUAUUUCAUACCGACCGAAUAAAUCUGUCUGUAAAUUCGUCGGUAUUUUUAUACCGACGGAUUAUUUCCGUCGGUGAAUAUGUCGGUAUUUUUAUACCGACGGAUUAUUUCCGUCGGUGAGUAUGUCGGUGAUGGGAUGGCAUACCUCAGACACUGUCCAAUGCCGACGGAUUUAUCCCGUCGGUAAAUCCCUGUGUAAUUUUUUUUUUUAAUUAUUUAGAAAAAAUAAUAUAAAUUAAUAGUAAUACAAACCAAUUAUGCAAAUAAAAUUUAUAUUAAGCAACAAAAACUCAAAGUUAAAUAAUAUUCAUUACAAAAUGAAUGUGUUUAAAAAAAAAAACAAUUAAUAUAAAGGUGGAGGAGGAGGAGGAGGAGGAGGAUGGGGGUUAGGCGGCCAAAAAGGAUUAGGCGCACAUGUUCCGCCUUGUGUCAUGUUCAUGACCAUUUGACGAAGCUCUUCAUAGGCCGCUCUUUGUUGUUCAGACUCUGCUCUGCGUUGUUCGUCCGCCAAUCUGUGUUGUUCAUUCGCCAAUCUUUGCUCUUCUUUGAGUUGUGUGUACGCCUCUGAUAGGUGGUCGCACCUUUGCUGCAAGGCCACAAACUCCUUAGAUUGGGAGCUCGAUACAGAUUGGGAGCUCCCACCGGUUGAAGCAGUACCGGUCGACCGCAACUUGGCAGCGGUAGUGUUGGAGAGCCCGUAAACCCGAUUUUUAUCGGGUCCACCUGACGAUCCAGCCUCCAUCCACAAAUCCGGAUCGAAUUCCGGAUGGGUCGAAGGAUCAUCCCCGUAUCUCUCCCUCAACCGAUUAUUAUAGGUCUCCUGAAAAAAAAAAUCAUAUUCAAUUCAAUAAACAUAAUAAUAACUUACAAAAUAAAAUGGUUGAACAAACACACCACAAACUGUUGAGCACGGUUGUCAACGAACUGUUGCGUCCCCUUUUGGCGGUCAUGACUCCGCACGUGCGUCUCCACAAACAGCUCCAUAGGGCUCGGCUCAUGUCCAAGAGACGUAGCCUAUAUAUUAACAACAAAUUAAUUGAACGAUAUAUUUCAUUUAAAUUAAUCUUACCAUCCGUUUCGCAUGUGCAGCAAACGGAACGGAGCCGCCGGUGUGCGUUGUAACCGAGCCAUGAAUUUGCCGAUUCCGGUUGCCGGCACCGGACUGUGAGCGUCGAGUGAACCGCUCAGACGUCACGUGCUGAAGAUAGUGCGGCCAUAUAUCUUCCGGGAUGUAUAUUGGUUUGAAAUCCCUCCAAACCGCAACAUCGUUCCAGCCUUGUAACCCCUUAUCCCUCGCUGUUUUUUUUGCUUUUUUCUGGGCGUCAUACCAAAAAUCACGCAACCUAAUUCACGCACGAAAAAAUUACAUUUCAAAACAUAAAUAAUUAUGUAAAAAAAAGUCGUAUUGUUUUCGAUGUUACCUAAUUGCCGCGUGAUUUUCCCACACCCUCCUCACAACACUGUCAUGUUCAUCGUCCCAGCAGAAUCGAUGCUGUAUAUAAAAAAAUAAUUUUUUAAAAUGUUAAUAAUUUAUUUACAAUUAUAACAUGAAUUUAUAAUUAGAAAUAAGCUGAAAAUUAUAUAUUAACACGAACCUCAAAUCUACGAAACCAUGCAUUGAUUUGAGGCAUCCAUUCAGGAUGUCUGGAUAUCUGACUCCAUUGAAACAAUGGAAUCUCCAUCGACGCUUUAAACGCCGAUGAUAUUAAUCGGGCGGCCUCAAUGUUUGUGAACCUGAAAAGAAAUGAAAUUAAUUUGUGAUUACUUCAUAAAUUAUGUUUUAAAUUUGUUUUUUUUAUAUAAAAAAAACUAAAACAUUAACAAACUUACAUUGAAAGAUCGUCCUUCCACUGUGCCUCGAACUGGUGGGUAAAUUGAUUCCGCUUCAAAGGCAUGCCGCGUCUGCGAUGUGAAACAUCGCUGGAAGAGGCAGCAUCGGUUGACGGCGCAGGUGGUGUAGGUGCCUCUUCUUGAGAGGCACCUAAGGAAACAUCAUCAUCGCUGCUAGACGAACUUGAUUCGACUGUACGACCAGCUCUGGUUUUCAUUUUGCGCAUCUAAACAAUUUUAUAUUAAUAAUUGUAAAAUAAAAUUCAAAAGUUAAAAAAAAAUCGGCAGCACCUCCCCUAUACUGGAUACUACCCAAAUCCACAAACCUGCAAAUAUUAACAAUAGCCACAACUAAUCGAACCAAUCUAUACUAAUUAUUCCAACAUAUUCAACUAUUAAUCCUAAGAUAAAUUCAACGUUAACAAUUACAAUUCACAAAUUAAUCAAUAAUUAUAUUCAAAACAAUAAAAAUAUAACAAAAAAUAAAUUCAAUAAAUUCAACAAAUUAACAAUUACAAUUCAACAUUAACAAUUAUAAUUCAACAAAUUCAAAAAAUUCAAAUAUUCAACUUUAACUAAUUCUAAGUUAAAUUAACUAAUAACAAUUCUAACAACACAACAACAAAAAAUAUUCAAUAAAUUCAACAAUUAAAUUCAAUUAUUCAACAAUUAAAUUAACAAAAAUUCAACAAAUUCAAAAAAUUCAAAAAAUAUUCAAAUAUUCAACUUUAACUAAUUCUAAGUUAAAUUAACUAAUAACAAUUCUAACAACACAACAACAAAAAAUAUUCAAUAAAUUCAACAAUUAAAUUCAAUUAUUCAACAAUUAAAUUAACAAAUAUUCAACAAAUUCAAAAAAUUCAAAAAAUAUUCAAAAAUUCAACUUUAACUAAUUCUAAGUUAAAUUAACUAAUAACAAUUCUAACAACACAACAACAAAAAAUAUUCAAUAAAUUCAACAAUUAAAUUCAAUUAUUCAACAAUUAAAUUAACAAAUAUUUCAAAAUUCAAAAAAUAUUCAAAAAAUUCAACUUUAACUAAUUCUAAGUUAAAUUAACUAAUAACAAUUCUAACAACACAACAACAAAAAUAUUCAAUAAAUUCAACAAUUAAAUUCAAUUAUUCAACAAUUAAAUUAACAAAUAUUCAACAAAUUCAAAAAUAUUCAAAAAUUCAAAAAAAAGGAACGAAAUAUACAUACCUUAAUAAUGUGUCAAAUUCAAAACUUUAUCUACAUUGCAACAAAAAACACAACACAACAAAAUAAAAACAACUAAAAAUAAAAUAAAAUAAAAUAAAUUAGAAAAAAAACACAUACCUUUUAAUAUAAUGAAGAUUUACAACACCAAAUCUUGCUAGAGAUUAAAGGUGAAAGUGUUUAAGGAUUGAGGGGGAAAAAAUGAAAAAUCUAAGGUGAAAAACGGAGGAGAAGCGAAGAAGCGGCGGGGAGAAGAAGAAAAAAUGAGGCGAAGCGGCGGGGCUGGAACUUAUAGGUCAAUUUUACCGACGGCAUCACCGACGGAAUUAACAUCCGUCGGUAACAGGUCAAAAUUCCAUCGGUAACAGGUCAAAAUUCCGUCGGUAUUUUUCAAAUUUCGCCCCGAAUUUUUAAAAGCCCUCCAAAAUUUUCGCAGUCCGUCGGUAAUCUGACAAGUUCAGAGGCGCAUUAAUUAACGCACUUUGGAAAACGCGCGGUCCGUCGGUAAUUCUGUCGGUAAUAUGUGUAACCGACAAAUUACCGACGGCGUAGGUCCGUCGGUAAUCCCGUCGAUGGUGGUGUUAUGUUUUCGAGCUUACUGUGAGAUGCCGACGGAUUUUAUUCCGUCGGUAUGGGCGUCGGUGAUUGUGGUAUUUUGUUGUAAAUAUUUUCGAACUCUCUGUGAGAUACCGACGGAUUGUGAUCCGUCGGUAUGGGCGUCGGUGAUUGUGGCAUUUUGUUGUAAAUAUUUUCAAACUCUCUGUGAGAUACCGACGGAUUGUGAUCCGUCGGUAUGGGCGUCGGUGAUUUUGGCAUUUUGUUGUAAAUAUUUUCGAACUCUCUGUGAGAUACCGACGGAUGGUGAUCCGUCGGUUUGGCCGUCGGUGAUUGUGGUAUUUUGUUGUAAAUAUUUUCAAACUCUCUGUGAGAUACCGACGGAUGGUGAUCCGUCGGUAUGGCCGUCGGUGAUUGUGGCAUUAUGCAGGAAAGGUUGUCUUUGUAUGGCCUGUUUACCUUCCUGCAAUAACUUAACUAAUAAACUGUCUAUCACAUAAAACAAUAACCACAUUGCUUAAACAAUAAAUAUUUUGUUUUACAAAAUACAUCAUCAAUAAUCUAAAUUACAUGAGACAAAUGUUUUUACAUAGGGCUUCAUUUUCAUAAUUAGUCGGAAUUUUCUUCUUCUUCCUCAUCAAUUGAAUUGUCAUCAUCUUCAUCGCAAUCUUCAAUAUGGAUAUCAUCUUCUUCAUCGACAUUUGGUUGUCCGCUAGAGCUGAGAACAACAUUCAACUCCUCUCCGUCAAUAUCAACAAGACUAUCAUCGAGAACUCGAAAAUUUGAAUUUUCUUCCAAUUCAAUCGAAGGAGCAACUCGAUAUGGUUCAACCAACUCACGAACUUGAAAGACUUCAUCUCGCACACUUGUGUCUUCGUUCUCAUCCUGAACAACCUCGACACGACCCCGUGGUUUCGUUUUUAAAACGGACAACCAACCAAUCAGCAAAUGACCCAAAUGGGUUGAACCCGUCUGUACACAACCCAAGUCGAACAUUCCUUGAUUCAGCAGAAAAGUCAGGAUGAACACUGUUAAAGCGUUUCCACGCUUCGCCGUCAGAAGGAUGCACCAUCACACCAUCAACGACAUCGUGUGUUCGGUGCCAUGUCAUGUGCUCAGCAGUCCUUGGUGACAUAAAUAACCUCUGCAGUCUAGGUGUGAUCGGGAAAUAUCUAAGUUUUUUAUAUGCCACUAGAGUCUUCCCCCUGCCAGUUCUGGGUUUGUAACGGGAAUGCCCGCAUGUCAUGCACUCGGUCAUCACAACAUUUUCAAGGUAGUAUAACAUGCAGAAGUUAGGGCACAUGUCAAUUUUCUGGUAUCCUAAACCGAGGGGUUUCAUCAUGGACUUCGCAGCAUAGAAGUUCUCUUUCAUCAUGGUUUCAUCAUGGACUUCGCAGCAUUCCAACUCGAUAUGGUUCGUCAGAAUCUUUCAACAAAUCAAAAAACCUAGCUGCCUCUGCAUUAGGUUCUUCUUCUACGAUUGGACAUUGAUUGACAUUAUCUUGAUUCAUUCUCAUUGCAUCCAUAACCAUGUUUCUGUAAGGAUUAGUGUUGUCCUUUCCCGCUUCAUGCACGUUGCUAGCACUAGAAGUUGACCCAACCACCGUUUCUCCCAUUCUCCUAUUACUAACAAAUACCUCUCCAUGUGCAUACCAACACUCGUAAUCCUCCACAAACCCUUUGUGUAGAAGAUGCAUCAUUACAACAUCUGGAUGCAGAUACUUUUUAUUUUGACACUUCCUGCAUGGACACCUAAUACCGCCUCCAGUAAAAUUUCUGGGAAUAGAUGUUGCGAAAUUAAUAAAACCCUGAACCCCGUUACAAUAAUCCAUCCUCCGCAAUCCUUGGGGUGAAUCUAGAUACAUCCAUGAACGAUCAUCCAUGACUUCUAUCGAACCUCUAUAAAAAGGACCCAUUAAUUAAGCAAGCUCUUAAUUAUUUCAAAACACAACAUGUAAUUCGGUAAUUCUACAAAUUAAGUUUUAACAAUUUUCAAACAAAUACAAUCUUACAAAAUCUUAAACAAACCAUAACAAGUAUAAAAUUAUACAUUCAUAUACUACAAGUUUGUUUGAGAAAUAACAAUAAAACAUGUACAUCUAUUAAAAAAAAAUAAUACAUAUACUAAAAAAACAAUAAAAUUAACAUUUAAAUGUUAAAAUUUUAAAAGAUAGAAUUACUUACAAAAAAUGAUAAAAUCCGUCGGUAAAUCAGAACACGGAUGUUGUGACCACAAAACAAAUACAACUUGUUGUGCUGAGAUGAGAAAGAUUUUUGUUUUGGGGCAAGGGGGGGGCUGGUUAUUUUGCAGAUGGGGAGGGUUAGGAUUUGGAAGAAGAAGGAGAAAUGGGGGAGGAGAGUGUCGGCAGAGGGGCCAUAUAUUCACUUUUGCCAACGGACUUACCGACGGUCUUUAUUCCGUCGGUGAAUCUGUCGGCAACACCGUCAGUAAUUCUGACGGGCAAUCGACACGUCACCGCACGGACCUGCUAUUCAAAUCCCUCGGUGAUUCCGUCGGUAUUUUUAACGGUGCACCCGUCACGUCACCGGUACGGAUCUGGCAUUUCAAAUCCGUCGGUGAUUCCGUCGGUAUUUUUUGACGGUGAAUAGGUCCCAUCACGCGUAUGGGCCCCAGUUUUUAAUUCAGUCGGUGAUUCCGUCGGAAAAAUCACCCGCCAAAACCUCCGCGCCACUGCCCGCCCUUUUUUCAUUAAUUCUGAAUUUUCAGUCGGUAAUUCGGUCGGUAAUUACCGACAGACUAUGUCCAUCGGUAAUUACCGACCGAAUUACCGACGAAUAUUGUCCGUCGGUGAUUUCGGCCGAAAAAUACCGACAAAAAAAAUUCCGUCGGUAUGUCCGUUGGUAUUUAGCGAUUUUCUGGUAGUGAAAGUUAUUAGAACGAUGACCAUAUUUUAUGGUGAUGCAAUAGUUGUAGUGGUGAUAAAGGUUGGGGUGGGAAUGGAGGGGUGAUGGUGGUGGUAGUGCAGGAGUGACAAGGUGAUGUUGGUGAUAGGAAUAUGAUGAUGGAGUAGUAGCAACAAGGUAGCAGCCAUUGUGGUAGCAGUUUCAGCGGUGGUCCUAGCUGCAUGAUAGUGGUGGUUAAAAUUAUUGCAUGAUAUUGUAAGUAGAUUAGUGACAUAAAAUAUUUUAUACAACUUUAUAAGGUGAAAAUUAUUUUCAAUAAACAAAUUAAGUUUAAUGGUAGACUGGGAAACAAGUACAUGAAAAUCAUCUAGCUAUUGCAUUAUCGAACAUCUAAUAAAGCAUCCAAAAACCCCAUCAAGGACACAUGAUUUUUCUUUUAUUUAUCGAAGAACAACUUAACAGGAAAAUCCUACUUCCAAACAGAGAAUCUUGUAUAAGGAAAGACAAAAACAAGCAAACAGACUUAGUACUGUCAAAUAUCUAGUGGCAAUCUUCAACAUAUGAAGAGCAAAACCAGUUAUUCAGGCCCUCUAUGCAAUCAGGGUGACAAGCUGCUUGGAAGGAAGGAAGGUAUUGGACUGGCUGUGUCAGUGUUGGCCUAUUUGGCCUACUCAACUGGUUCAAGCCUUCAGCUAAAGGGACAGCUUUAUAAUCUGACCGCAUUACCUCUUCUUUGAAAUAAAAACAAGUACUAGCAUUUAGUUGCAGGUAGAAGGGGACAAUCGCUUUCUUUUCUUCCCAUGCUGUUCUUGUUUCUGCUAUGAUCUCUUAUGCCAGUUUGGUUACAGGGAUUUCCAGCAGUUUCCAUUGCAGGUGAGCUUUUCUAGCCUUAGCAACAACAUCUAGUCUGAAUUCUGAUAGAUAUAAGUAAUUGGUGUCUUGAAGAGUUUGUUUGGUGCACAGGAAGCAGUCGAGUUAUCAGCAUCUGACGGCCUAAUUAUGUGGUAUUAUAAGAUGAAUUUGUACUCAAAGGAAAAUGAGUUUUUAAUAUAUUUAAGAUCUGAAUUAAAUGUGUUGACGUCAGCAUGACGUAAUUUCUGACGUCAUCAUGUACAGUAAGCAUGGCCAUGAUGACAUGAGCAUGAUGUGAUUGUGACGGCAGCACAGUGGGCCACUGACACGUCAGCGCCGCGAGCCGAGCCGUGAUGAGCCGAGCCGAUUGGAGCCGAGGGACAGGAUCCAGUGUAGCUGAUCCUAUGUGCAACCGGAUCUGAGAUUGAAUCUGAGCCGUUGAUCAGGCUAGAAUUGUUUUGAUCAAAUCUUAGCCGUCUAAAGUGCGAUUUGGGCGAUUCAAGACGUGUUUCCAGCUAAUUUGAUCAUUCCGGAUGCAAUGGUACGGUCCGAUCUGAGAUUCAAGACCAAAAAUGAUGGUGGUGAAUUAAUGAAGAGAGAUUGCCCGAUCAGGAGGCAUCUGAGGGUCUUGAUGGUGGUCGUUGGUGAUGAAGAAGAAGAAGGUGCACAUGUUUUCCCAAUUACAUGUGCUGAACUAUUAAAUGGAGAAAUGUAAUGCCUUGAUGAAAGGCAAAAUUGGGACACUCUGGACACCCGGUUAUGUGGACAAUUAGAGGUGGAGAGUGAAAAUUGACGAAGACCAAUCUUGACGAAUCUAAGCACUAGUAGUCUCGCUAGAUGUUGAGAAAUCAUGAAACUUGUAUAUACCAGAUCACUUGUAAAGGAAAGCCACAACAGAGCUAGCAAAUGGUUGUAUAUACGGAGAGACAGUACGAUGGAUAGAUAUGGCCUAAGAAGUUCUGUCUAGGAGAUUGGGUUUUAAGCGGGACCCGUUGUGACCCCUCCAAUCUUUCCUGGGAACUUGCUUAGUGGAAGGAUUAUCCAUACGGUACUAUUUUCGUAUAUAUAGCAGUUUGUAAUGAAACGGUUGAAGACUAGCAGGAUGACGGCACAAGGGGAACAGUUGGGUUCCGCAUGAUCAAGGAUCUGAUGGAGUGGUGAUUUCUCCAAAGAAGGCAGAUUCGGUGACUGUGAUUUCUCGAAGGGAGAAUUGACACGAAGACCCUGAUAAUGGAAGAGAAAUACAGCAAGGGGAUAAAGAUUGGCACCCUAUUUUGACUUGACCAGGUGUUGUGACAGGAUGAGCUGCUGUCAAACAUAAGCAAGGAAUAGGGAGAAAUCUGGAGAACAGAAACUGCACGAGGGCACACGGAGAUUGUGCAAGAGUACCCGAGGGAUCCAACGAGGUACUGUAAUGAGACAACAGGUGCAAGGAGAAGAAGAGUUCCCAGAUGAAGCUCAGAGCAGAGACUGUGUACAACAUGAAGUCUCUUAUGCUCUUGAUAAAGGCAACAAGCGAGGACCUUUCCAAUACAUGCAAGGAUGGAAAGAUGAGCUAUUGCAGAGGCACCUAAUUGAGGGGGUGCAAACGCCUAUGAUAAAAGGCAACCGCCUAUGAUGAAAGGCGAAGCCACCAAAGAGAGUUGGUGUAGGUGGAGCUGUCAAGCAUAAAGGCAUAGAAGCUCCAAACAUAGAAAUCAAGAUGGAGGAUUGCGAGGAGUAUACCGCAAUUUUCUCUUUCUAUGUAGUCAGUGGCAGUAAUCUCUCCCAAGUCCACAUGGUGGUAGAGAAUCUUGAAGCCACUUGAGUCAUCCCGAUGAAGGAGGAUGAGACCGCUCCACGACGAGCGGAGACACCUCGGAUGGAAGGUGUGAGGGGCAUGAUAUGAGCCCAGAUUUCAGACCGCCGCAUAAAGACGAGCGGAGACACCUAAGGAGAAGGUGUGUGGGCCACGAUAUGAGCCUAGUUCAGAACGCCCCAGAGCCAAUGUGAUGGCUAGAUAUGAGUGGACAGGUGGAUAGCCAAUGAAGUGGCUAUGAUGAGUAUGAAGACAAAUGCAGGAUUAACUUUCAUGGAUAUUGUCCCCAUGCUAAAGAUCAAUGAGCUAGAAGACAUUUGCCUUGGACAAUAAGUGGAUAACUUGUGGAGCAUUAAGACGCGGCUGCUAUGAAGAAGCAGAGGGCAUGCGCAGGUUCUGAGAACGAGUUGACUCUUGUCAAGGUGGUGAGCUCGGAGAUGGCAUUGUAAUACUCAGAGUAUGAAGACAGAUAUGGAUCAACCUUUAAUGGGCUGCCCCCAUGGUUAAAGGUGGAGAGCUACCUGGACUCUUACGACUAAGAGCGAGAGACUCACGGAGAAGUAAGGCGUGGUUCCUAGGGUGGAACAGAGGGCAGGCGCAACUCCUGGAUGAGUAGACUCUUGGAAGAGUGGUGAGCUUGUGAUCACAUUGAAAUACUCAAUGACUGUCGCACUUGGGAAUAUCCGUUUGAGGGGGUGUUGUAAGCUUUGGUGUGAGGCUUGAUAAAUCAUUCCGGACCGAGCAUGGUUGAUACGCUCGAAGGGGAAUGUUCCUAGAGACAAGCGUUAACACUCUUCAGAUGUGAUGUGUAAGACCAUCUGGUUGAAGUGAUCCUUUGGUGUAAGCAAGGGUGUGCUUUGGUGACUCUGGUGAUUGAAAGGUUGGGUGAGUACCUGUAAACUUGGCCACAAGCGCUCUUAGAAUCGAAAGCUUGGAAAAGCUGCAGAAUGCAAGCUUGUGCUGAUGAAGCAAGAGGACAAUUGCCCACAUAAAUGGCAAAGGGGGUGAUUGUUAGGUAUUGCCAUUUAGUGGCAAUACCCCACCACCAAGUUGGUGGUGGCUCCACUAAUGCCACAAUUAGUGGCAUGAUUUAAGCCACCAUUUGUCCCCUACAUGUGUUGGAGAAGGCUGCUAAGAAAUGCCUAUAAAGGAGACUUAUAUUUGAGAGCAAGAUUGUGAGAGUUGAGAAUAACGUGAAUGUGUGAAAGAGUGAAGAGAAAGAGAAGAGAAAGGGCUGCUGCUGCUGCAAGGGCAGCAAGAGAGAUCGGAGUUGAGUGAUUAGAUCCUCCUCCAUGUAUUUAUUGUAUCCUUUCUCAAUCUCUAAAUAAUAUUGACUCUCUCCCGUGGAUGUAGGCGUUUUUGUCGAACCACGUAAAAUAUUGUUGUCAGUGUGCUUACCCCUCCGUUGAGCAAUUAUCAGUACAUCACCGGUCGCCGGAAUUUCCCAACAAUAGUCACAUUAUUCACGGAAGGUACCCCAGCUCAUCAACGGCCUUUGUUCUGCCAUGUUUCUGCCUGCAACAAAAGCAGCAGGUUGCUUAGGUUCUGGGAGAGCUGCUUGUUCAUUUACAAUCAUGUGGAUAACAUCAGACAUUGUAGGCCGAUCAGCAGGAAUUUCUUGGACACAAAGGAGUCCUAUGUUUAUGUAUCUCAACAGCGUAGAGGUUGAAGGAGGAUCGAUCUCCCGGGAUUGGAUCCAUCAAGUCCAAAGCUUUAUUAGAAUAAUUCCAUAACUUCCAUGCCUAUGGUAUAAUUAACAACGCAAAGUUGCAUCGUUAGUGUGGUAGAAGAUGGAGGGAGUCGCUGUGGUAGAAGCUAGUAUUCUUCUUGCCGCUCACAAUCUCAAGUACCAGCACCCCGAAGCUAAACACAUCGGAUUUUAUUCAGAAGAGACCCUCCAUAGCACAUUCAAGGGACAUAUAGCUCCUAACAUUUGAAAAGGUUAGCGCAGAUCGUGUUAAGAGUAGCAUGUCGUGGAAAAUAGAAUUUAAGAAACGUACUAUGUUCCAACGACCCUGCUGGUGUUUGCUUGAGUUUCAUUGCCUCCCAAAAUUCGAGCCAUCCAGAAUCGGAUAUUUUUGGAUUCAUUUCACUGUGUAAUAGAAUGUUGCUAGGCUUUAAAUCCCUGUAAAUGAUUCGUAACUGCUGCUACGAAUUUUUUAUUUUAUUUUGGAAAAAAUUUCAAAAAAACCAAAAUAUAACAAAAAACUAAAAAAUAUAUUCUUCAAGUCUUUGCGUCGUCUGUAGUGUUCAAAAAUGUCGUUUUCAAAUAUUAAUGUCUGCAUUCCAGAGAGAGACUGGCCACUCAAAAGGAUAUCAGCUCCAAUGGAAAAGCAAGUCUUGUGAGAAACGAAUAGCAACAAUAGCACAAAAAGCAAGAAACCUGGCUUUGUCACGUCGCGCCUCCUUUUUAAUUGAGGAAAUAAGGUGUUGCAUCCGUCCUGAAACAUCAAUCACGAUUCUUGAAGGAAUUGAGGUGUUGUACACAGAAUAGGUGAAAUAGCUUUCAUUUUCAUUUGAUACAUAACUAUAGUAGAAAAUAUUGUUCAAUUCUCUCAUCUCAGGCACUUUGGCAAAUAUUUCUCCAUCCCAAUCACCAGUGCUCCAAUACAUGUGUGACCUGUUCCACUCUAUGAAAAGACUACUUCCAUUUGGGUCGAUCCCAAUCGAGAACAUACCUGGUGCAGGGUCUUCUGCGUUUUUCCAGGAAAUAAGCCGCUGCACUUGCCCAGUGUGCUUGUUGAUUCCAAGCUUUGCACUAUCAAGGAAACUGAUGAAUUCAAAUUACUGCCAAUACAAGCGUAGCUGUCACCAGAAGAAACGCCAGAUUUUGUGCCCUUCAUAACUGCAGAAUCAGUCUGUUAUUCCUGAGAAUAUUGCUAUUGAUUAUGUGUGUAAAUAUUAGUCCGUUACAAACAUUUGAAUUCCUGAAAUCAAGCUCUUAGGACUGUAUAAAGAUUACAAGAAAUGAAUGGAAAAAGUGUGAUUCAUAAUACAAUAAUAUUGCAGUGUAAGUCUUAUUAUGCACCAGGUAGCCAUGUGUCAGUUGGAUAAUCGAAACUCUGCCAAUAUAUGGUAGCUGGAUUUGAGCCAUCUCUUACGACAAAGUUUCCAUCAUCAAGAAGUACUGCUUCUGCUGUACUAGUAUUCGACAUUGAAGAUGCAAGAGCUGUUGACCAAAGUGUUUUGGUGAAAUUCAUCAGCAAGACAGGAUUGCCAUCUGCUGACAAUUCAAGCUUCGAUGAAUCUGGGUCGUUUGAAGGGCUCUCCCUGUUUGCUACCCAAACAUAUAUCUUAUAUGCGAAGUUCUUAUACCAUAUUCCCAGGUAAAUGUUUACAGAAGUGCCUGGCUUGAAGUGUUGGUGGGAGAAACCACUGGUGGUGGCUUUGAAACACUCAGAGGGGAUAAAACACACUGGUUUUAUUACAAAAUCCGAAGCUUACAAUUAAUUAAAACAAAAGGGAUGUCAUGCCAAGCAUGAACACUUCUCCUUUCAAUGCCUUCUUUCUGCUUGUAGACCUUUUUGACACCUAUUGCUUUCUUCUUUUCUGGUGGGUCCUUAUCUGCAUGGAAACAAAAUAGAGUUGUAUCUUCCAUGACUUGAGUGGUAUCGUACAACUCUUCAAGAUUCCUCAUCCUUCUUGGUCCUUCUGAUGAAGAUGUUGAUGGUGGUGUUGAUGAUGAUGCUCCUGGUGUGUUCCUCCUGUUGAAUACAGGGAAUCUGUGUACCGGACUUUGUGGUUCAACUGCUGGUAUAAACACCGGACUUUGUGGUUCAGCUGCUGGUAUAAACACCGGACUUUGUGGUUCAGCUGCUGGCACAAUUGGUUCUUCGACAAGUACUGUUGGUACUUCUUCACCUUCAAGGAUCAAAUCAAGAUUGAUCCAUUUGACUGCUUCUUGAUCACCAUUCCAUUCCCAAGAUUUAUCUUCUUCAAAGAUAACAUCUCUACUCGUAAUCACCUUCUUCGUGAUGGGAUUAUACAGCCUGUAUCCCAUCCUUCUUUCACCAUAUCCGACAAAGAUGCAUUGCUCGCUUUUAUCAUCGCGCUUCCUCCUUCUUGCAUCUGGGAUCUUUGCAUAUGCCACACAACCAAAGACUCGUAGAUGAGUUACACUUGGUUUGUGACCACUCCAUGCUUCUUCUGGAGUGACUCCUUGCAAACUUCUGGUCGGGCAGCGAUUCAACAGAUACACUGCACAUGAUACAGCUUCAGCCCAGUAUUGCUUGGGCAACUUCUUUGCUUUGAACAUACUUCUCGCCAUGUCAAGAAUCGUGCGAUUCUUCCUUUCGGCUACACCGUUCAGCUGUGGUGUAUAAGCUGGCGUCGUCUGAUGUCUGAUGCCUUGUUGUGUACAAUAGGCUUCAAAGUCAUUGCUGUAUAUUCUCCACCUUGAUCAGAUCUUACGUUCUGAUCGUGUAACCAGUUUGCUUCUCCACAAUUGCUUUAAAAUCUUUAAAACAAUUGAAUACUUCUGACUUCCUCUUCAGAAAGUAUAUCCACGUCUUUCUACUAAAAUCAUCAGUAAAAGUGAGGAAGUACCUAUUUUGUCCAGUCGACAUAGGCGUAAUUGGGCCACACACAUCUGUGUGUACUAACUCCAGUGGCCUCUUUGCUCUCCAGUUGACUUCUUUGGCAAAACUGGAUCUGUGAUGUUUGCUGAGGACACAACUCUCACAGACUUCAUCUGGAUGAUCAAUGUGAGGCAAACCUUUGACCAUCUUCUUGCUUGCUAGCAUCUUCAUACUUGUGAAAUUCAGAUGUCCAAGCCUUAGGUGCCAAAGCCAUUCUUCACUGUUGGUGAUGGCACUCAAACACCUUGUUGCAUCAUACUGGAUGUUCAAAGGAAACAUCCUAUUCUUGGACAUUUUCACGUAGGCCAUUAAUCUCCCAUUGUUGUCUCUAAUUGUCAGAUGACAAUUCUUCGAGUAAAAACUAUAUCCUCUCUCCAAAAGUUGCCUAAGCUGAUCAGGUUCUGCUUUAUGGCUGGGACAUAAUACACAUCGGCGAUGUAGCUGGAAUCGCCAUUCUUCAACUUGACUGGGAUGUUGCCUUUACCUUUGAAUGGAACCUUUGUGGUAUCUCCAAAAGUAACUAGACCUUGCUUGGUCUCAUCUAGAUCACCAAAUAACUCUCGGUAGCCGCACAUGUGAUUGCUGGCUCCAGUAUCUAGAUACCAUAUGUUCUCCUGUUUCUCGCCAAGUUCUUGUUGGACAAGAAAUGCAGAUGCUUCUCCAUCAUGCUUCUCUACAUAGUUGGCUUGCUCACGUAUCUCCAACGGAGCUUUCCAUCUGCAUUCAGUGCUAUAGUGCCCAAAUUGAUUGCAGCUAUAACAUUUGAUAUUUCUCUUGUCACGGUUAUUGUAACCGCCUCCUCUUCCUCUAGGAGUGAAUGCUUGUUGGCCUCGGCCUCCUCUGGUGGUGUUUCUGCCACCUCUUCCUCUGAAGCUUGUAUUCCAAGAUCCUCUUCCUCUUCCUUGGAAUUAUGAAUCCUCCUCUGGAUUGUUGACUUCCUGCUUGAGUGGUGUAGCCACUGUUGAAGUCUCCCCUUGCUCAUAUCUGUCCUUGAAAGACAGCUUUGCUUGUAAGGCAUGCUCAAUGGCCUUAUCUUCAUUUCGCAUUACAAUCUUCUGCUCAUGAGCUUGCAAAGAACUCAUAAGCUCAUCCACUGUCAACUUGUCCACUUCCUUGGACUCUUCAAUUGCGACAACAACAUGAUCAAAUUUUGGAUCUAUGGAUCUCAAAAUUUUCUCAAUAAUUCGAGUGUCAAUGAGGGCUUCUCCAUUUCUUCUCAUCUGGUUGACUAUCACCAUAAUCCUUGUAUGAUAAUCAGAAAUAGAUUCUGAGGACUUCAUUCGUAAUAAUUCGAAUUCUCCUCUCAAAGAUUGAAGACGAAUCUUCUUGAUUCUGUCAGCACCUUUGUAUUUCUGUUGGAGAGCCUCCCAUAUAUCAUGUGACGUUUCAGCGGAAGCUAUUAUCUCGAAUGUAUCUUCAUCAAGACCUUGGUAGAUGAUGGUCUUUGCUUUGUUGUCCUUCUUUCUGUUGACUUUCAAGGCUUGCUUCUGUGCCUCUUGUAAAGCAUCUUCUCUUUCUUUGGACUCUGGUUCAUCAUAACCAGUUUGUACAAUAUCCAAACACUCUUGUGACCCAAGAAAUGCCUUCAAUCUGAUGCACCAACUAUCAUAGUUGUCUUUGGUCAGCUUCGGGAUGAGUGUAUGUGUACCUUCUGUAGUCAUUUUGCUCUUUUAAUGACUAUAUCGCCUUCUGGGAGCCGAAUUUGACCAAACGGACACUGUAGAUCGAUCCGGAAUGGUCCAAAUAGUCAGGAACCGGUCUGACUUUGUUGAAAUCGGGUCAGAAAAUGGGUGAACCGGUCAAAAAACCAAUUCUGUACGGCGGGCGGUUCGCUGGGUUGAACCGGGAAUAUUCUGUGGAAUAUUCGGAGAAUAUUCUGGGAAUAUUCUCUCGCUCGGUAUGGCGCGGCUGGUGGCUCGGCUUGCGGCGCGGCUUGGACUCGGCGCGAACGGCUCGGCUCGGCUGAAUAUGGCGCGCGUGCACGUCAGUCGUCUUCAACCUCUGGCGCGCGUGGCUGCGCGUGGGUGAACAGUGCAGUAUCGUCAAGCGGCGCGUGUGGGCUACCCCUGACUCCGAUGAGGCUGAUUUUUGCGGCAGUGAGUUCGUCUUGAUGAGCUCUACACUGUGGAAUGAUCAAAACUUGUUUUGGACAACUUUGAAAAUUCGGAUAUACCCCAAAACUCUUCUGUUUUCCGACGAACGGGGCUCUGAUACCAAUUGUUGGUGGGAGAAACCACUGGUGGUGGCUUUGAAACACUCAGAGGGGAUAAAACACACUGGUUUUAUUACAAAAUCCGAAGCUUACAAUUAAUUAAAACAAAAGCUUAAACACACCCUCUUUCUCUCUUUCUCUUUCAAGUGUUUCUCUCUAUUCUUUCCACACUAAUAAACACAAGCUGGGCACUCUAUUUAUAGACAAAAACAGAAUACGAAAAUCUACUGUUCCAGGUGUGAAGGCGGCUGUUGACCGGCGGUGUGAAGGCGGCUGGCGGCUGGCGGUUGCGGCUGGUGGCUGGCGGCUGCGGCUGGUGGGUGGUUGCCUUCCUUGACUAUCUAGGUGCUUCUAGAUUGAGUUUAUUCAACAUGAAGAAACCGAGUUCAAAAGUGCCGUUUUGAGAUAUUAGUGUCUGCCUCGCAGAGAGAGAUUGGCCAACCAAAAGGGUAUCACCUACAAUGGAGAAGCAAGUCCUAUGGGAAACGAAUAGCAACAACAGCACAUAGAGCAAAAAACGUGGCUUUGUCUCAACACACAUCCUUUCUAAUUCGUGGGAUUAAGGGUGAAAGAGCUGUGACUGAGCAUGAAUCAGAGAAAGAGGAAGGGAAAAAAACAAGAAAUCCCCUGUGAAUUCAUCAACUAUAUGACAAUGCUCUAGAUCUCUUGUCAUAUUGUAGCUGUCAGCUCUUACCAAUAAUUUUCCACAUUGACUGACUUUUCUGUUCUCGCUAUCCCCUCCAAUUAGAGACUAUGUCUUUUUAUUAUUAUUAUUAUUAUUAUUAUUAUUUUGAUAUAUUGGUAUCUAAAAUAAUUUUUUAAAAAUAAAAAAAUAUUAUAUUAAUAUAUUUUUAAGUAAAAAAACUUUUAAAAACAAUUAUUAAUUUUAUUUUUUUCAUUGCCUAUUUUAAUUUAUUACUCUUUGUUUGUUUUUAUGAGGAUUUUUUUGACUAAACAAUUACCACAGUAAUAGUAGACUUGAAAUGUCUAUUAAUAAUUAAUAAAGUUUCAUUCUAUUCUUUCGGUGCAUAUUAGGAUUUAGGACUAUUAUUAAUUACAGUCCAUUUCAAAGUCAAAGAUGAAUUUGUGAGAAAUUUAUAAGAAGAUAAAUCUUUCUAAAAUUCUUUUAAAAAAAUUGGCGAUUUAAAUUUUAAAUCAGUUAGGAAUCAUAAUUCUAAUAUUUCAUAAUCUAUUUUAUAUAUAUGCCGUGCUCUCGAUAUACUAAAAUAAAUAUUUGCUGAAGUCCAAAACUAUCUCUAUCAAAAUAGGACCAACCCAUCACACGGUCACCUUUGAAUAAAACUUUACGUGGAAUAAGGGGAAACAUAAAAAACAUAAUAGGAAAGAGCCAAGGAAUUAUUGAUGUGUAAUUGUCCACAUUUAAUUAUUGUCAAGAGGUCAGUUAUUACUAGUAUAGUUGAAAUUAAGUUCGUUUUACUUUAGUUAAACUGAUAAUUUAUGCAAAAUCGAAGAAAAAUUAGAAUUUUAAUUCGGCUGCACCUUAUUAAAAACAAGAUAAUUUCUUACGAGCCAAACAAUUCCAGUUAUGCUGAAGGAAAGGAAAUUUAUGAAAUCUACUUUUCACUAGAAGACUACUGACAAAUAAAUAAAUCCAAAGUCUUUAUUCUUUAGAUCUCUGAUGAAGUAGCUUCAUGUCCUUUAGACCUCUUAAUGAAAAAAUUAUCUCCCAUCUAUCGCUGUUAUAGUCACAUUAUUCACGUAAGGUACCCCAGCUCAUCAACGGUCUUUGUUCUGCCAUGUUUCUGCCUGCAACAAAAGCAGCAGGUUGCUUAGGUUCUGGGAGAGCUGCUUGUUCAUUUACAAUCAUGUGGAUAACAUCAGACAUUGUAGGCCGAUCAGCAGGAAUUUCUUGGACACAAAGGAGUCCUAUGUUUAUGUAUCUCAACAGCAUAGAAGUUGAAGGAGGAUCGAUCUCCCAGGAUUGGAUCCAUCAAGUCCAAAGCUUUAUUAGAAUAUUUCCAUAACUUCCAUGCCUACGGUAUAACAACGCAAAGUUGCAUCGUUAGGGUGGAGAGUAGGAAAGUAAUCAAAUAAAAUUCAAGCAGGAAGAAAAAGAAAAAGGGAAUAUAUGAAAGCUCCCCACAUGUCCAAGAAGAUGGAGGGAGUCGCUGUGGUAGAAGCUAGUAUUCUUCUUGCCGCUCACAAUCUCAAGUACCAGCACCCCGAAGCUAAACACAUCAGAUUUUAUUGAGAAGAGACCCUCCAUAGCAUAUUCAGGGGAUAUAUAGCUACUAAGAUUUGAAAAGGCCAGCACAGAUCAUGUUAAGAGUACUAUGUUCCAACGACCCUGCUGGUGUUUGCUUGAGUUUCAUUGUUUCCAAAAAUUCGAGCCAUCCAGAAUCGGAUAUUUUUGGAUUCAUUUCACUGUGUAAUAGAAUAUUGCUAGGUUUUAAAUCCCUGUAAAUGAUUCGUAACUGUUGCUACCAAUUUUUUCUUUUAUUUUGGAAAAGUUUUUCAAAAAAACCAAAAUAUAACAAAAAACUAAAAAAAUAUAUUCUUCAGAGACUGGCCACUCAAAAGGAUAUCAGCUCCAAUGGAAAAGCAAGUCUUGUGAGAAACGAAUAGCAACAAUAGCACAAAAAGAAUGGUGUUUGAACAAAAAAUCCCCUUUGAAUUUAGCAACUAUGAGAAUACUCUGUCUCUAACAUAUUGUUGCUAUCAGCUUUCCCUAUAAUUUUCGACGUUGACAUGGACUUCACGUUCGCACUAUCCCCUCCAAAUAUUUAAGGCUUUGGCAUUGUAUUUUUCGAGUCACGUUAUCAAUAAUAUACUGCAUGAAAGAAAGAGAAAUUUAGAUUUUUCAAAGCCAAAAACUUAUAAAUAAGAAAUUCUAUAUAGUAUAAUUUAAUAAGUGUAUUGUAUGUUUUUUUUUUGAAAUACAAUAAUGAUCAUUGGUGCUCCAGGGUGUUAUAAUUUAUUUAUUUUUGAAAAGAAUUGAAGAGGAGAAAAUAAAGGAGUGUUCAGUAAUAGAAAAUAUUUUAUUGGAUAAAUUAUUCUUUUCUUAUUCGUUUAUUUUUUUACUAAAAUAUUUUUUUAUUAGUAGCAUGUUUCUUCUUCUUCUUCUUCUUCUUCUUCUUCUUUUGAGAAAAGCCCCUUAUUUUAUUUUAUUUUAUUUUGGUCCGUUUCUUUUAUUUUUUUAAUACUAUAAAUUUAAAUACUGUUUCAUUAAAUCAGUCUGUAAUUUAAUUCUGAAAUUCAAGCAAACGCCUUAAUUUUCAAGUAUUUCAAAACAAAAAAAGAUCAACACAAAAUUUCACAAACAACGUGUGAAAAUAUAUAAUUGAAAAAAAGGAAUCAUUAUUAAAACAUAAAAUAAAAAGAAAAUGGGUCAUUGUGAAAGGAUACAUGUAGGCUGUCGUAUGUGCAAGAAUUUCAAAGUGCAAUUGAAAAAAAGUUUACAAUUUCUUUCGUUAGAAAAGAAAUUUACUGUCAAAUUUAGCUUAAUACCAGUACUGGGAUCUCCCAGGCUUGGAUCCAUCAAGUCCGAAGCUUUAUUAGAAUUCCAUAACUUCCAUGCCUAUGGUAUAACAACGCAAAUGCUGCAUCAUUAGUGUGGAGACUAGGAAAGUAUUCAAAAUGGAAGAAAAAGAAAUAAGCGUAUAUGAAAGCUCCCCACAUGUCCAAGAAGAUUGAGGGAGUCGCUGUGGUAGAAACUAGUAUUCUUCCUGCCGCUUACAAUCUCAAGUACCAGCACCCCGAAGCUAAACACAUCAGAUUUUAUCGAGAAGAGGCCCUCCAUAGCAUAUUCAGGGGACAUAUAGCCACUAAAAAUUGGAAAGGUCAGUGCAGAUCAUGUUAAGAGUAGCUGGUACUGGAAAGUGGAAUUCAAGAAACUUACUAUGUUCCAACGAUCCUGUUGGUGUUUGCUUGAGUUUCAUUGCCUCCGAAAAUUCGAGCCAUCCCGAAAUCGGAUAUUUUUGGAUUCAUUUCACUGUCUAAUAGAAUGUUGCUAGGCUUUAAAUCCCUGUGAAUGAUUCGUAACCGUGAAUAUCUAUGUAGAUACAGAAGGCCUUGAGCAACUCCUUCGAUUAUCCGAACCCGUGUACCCCAAUCUAGGAUUUGUCCUCUGUUUGCAUCUGUUUAUAGUUUAUACACAAAUCUGAUAUAAAUUUCUUGAAGCAUUUGGAAAGUCAGUGAAAAUUAAUGCAAGAAAAUGCUGACCAAAGAGAAAGAAAUCCAAGCUUUUAUUUGGCAUGUACUCAUAGAUUAGCAUUUUCUCAUCCCGUUCAAUACAGGAACCUAAUAGCCUGACAAGAUUCCGGUGCUGGAGUUUGGCGAUUAGAAUUGUCUCAUUUCUGAACUCUUGGAGCCCCUGCCCAGAUCUUUCUGAAAGCUUCUUCACUGCUAUUUCCAGUCCCUUAAGUAAUUUGCCCUAAUAAAUGAACCGAAAGUCAUUCUGAAAGCUCAUUCAAACAAUUUUCAUUUUUUUCUUCUGAAAAGGUUAGAAUAAUUAUUUGAACGUAAAUUACUUUAUAAACAGGUCCGAAUCCUCCCUCUCCAAGCUUGUCUGAGAAUUGUCCAGUUGCAACUGAUACGCUCUCAUAACUGAACAAUGGCAAUUCCAUAUUCUUACUCCAUCUAUUCUUCCGAUUGUGAACAGAGCUAGAUUCUCUGUUAGUUGAGCUAGGAUCCGUAUCGAAAUCAAAGAGCAACAAAUUGUGGCUUGCGCGUUGCUUCCCUGUUCAAGAGAAAAUUAAAAAUUACUGAACCAAUCACUUUGUUAAAAUAUCCAGCAAUUCUGAUUAUAUCAACCAAAAAUGUAACCACCUCAGGUUAUAAUAACCACAAUUUCCGAUAUUAAAAGGGAUUCCAAUUGUCAAUUUUUGUCAUGAAAACAGAAACUUUGGUGUUUGUUUGGGGUUAGAUAUUUUACCCACAGACAACCUUCUACUUUUUGAAGAUUUUAUAUGAGAAGUUUUUCGGAGAUGUGUUGGUUUAUAGGAGACAAACACACGAAAAUCAGAUUUCAGUUAAAUUUUUUAGGCAGUCUUCAAUUCAAAAACAUGUCUUAACAAAAUUAACCUUAUCAUCUUCAUACCCAACACAUAAUUACGGAGGAGGAGGGCUUUUUCUUACUUUUCAUUACAGUGUCAUAACCUAAUUUUUUAUUAUUUUAUUUUUUAAAAAAUAAUAAUAAAAUAAACGAUGAUAAAAAAAUGAAAAAAUAAAUGAAAUGAAGAAAAUGAAAAAAUGAAUGAAAUAGAAAAAAAUGAAAUGAAUGAAGAAUAAAUUGAAAUUUAGGUAAAGACAAUAUAAAUUAGAAGUUUGAGAACUUAAAUAAACUUUGAAUUACUUAAUUAAUCAAAUCAAAAGCUUAAUUAAAUACUUAAUAAGUUUGGGGACUUAUUUCAACUUGAAAUUAGUUUAAUUAAAUAAAGGGUUUAAUUGAAUAAAUACUAAAAUUUGAGGCUGAUUUGGGUCAAAAUUACAAAGUAAAAGUCCAAAAACUAAAGAGAAAAGAAGGGGGUACUGUAUGGAGUUUAAUUAUUUAAUUAUUUUUUGCAGGGGUAAUUUUGAAAAUAUAAAAGGUUGAAGAGUGAAUUAAAGACUGAAUUAAAAAAGUUUGAAAUCAAGGACUUUUCUGUGAAAUUCUCUAAAAUAUAGGGGUCCAAUUAUAAUUUACUCAGGGACUUGGAUACAAAGUUUCAUACAUUGAGUGACCAAAAUGAAAAUGGCCAUUCCCAUCCGGAACAUCUGGAAGGAGAAACGGCAGCAAAUCAACGGAAGCCUGCCAGCUGCCCCGUUACAAAGGCAAGAACGCAAGGCAUUCUCUGGCUUUAUAAAAGCCGGAGAAAGGGCAUGACGAGGAGGGAGGGAAAAAGACACGAACAAGAAAAGAACGAACGGAGAGAAAAAUCAGAGAAGCACAGGAUAGAGAGAGAGAGAGGGAGAAAACCAGAGACACAGACAUGGAGGAACAAACAGGGCGAACCAGCACGGAAACAGGGACGCAAAACACAAAAGAAAACAGAGAGGAAACCAGAAGAACAAGCAAACACAGGAGACAAAGUAAAUACAGACAGAACAAAAAGAGAAGAACGAAUAACACAGAGACGAGACGAAGAGCAGGAGACAGACAAUAAACAUACAGAGAGCCGGGAAGAAGCAGAAAAGGAAGGAAACAAAAAAAGAGAGAGGCACAGGAUGAGAAGGCUAAGGAACAGAGGGAGGAUAAAAACCAGUUCAAACUGGUUUAGUUCGAUUUUUUCCAGUUUAGCUUUUUUUUUUUUUUUGCUUGAUUUUUUCUGGUUUUUUUUUGUUUGGGUUUGGUUUGGAUUUUUUAGUUCUUUUUUUAUGAAACCGAAACCGAACCAAACCAACUAGUUUUUUUAAAAUUUUAAUCGGUUUAAUCUGUUUUUUUUACGGUUAAGUUUUUUUUUUUUUUUUUUUCGAUUUUAUCUGUUUUUUAAUUUUUUUUGUUUACCUUUAAGUGUGACCAACCAGGUCACUAGUUUGUUCCAGUGACUAGCUGGGCCAGACUUACGCCAGUGAUCAGGCCAAGCUAAUUAUGUUCAAUUUAUACGAGCUGAGCUGGAUUUAGGGAAAAAAAAAAUGAGGUAAGGCUGGACCUGAGCUUCAGCCCAUCCAAUCUACUUUGUUUUUGGUCGAGGGUGUUUUUUUUUAAACAAUUUCUUAUGCUAAUCUUCUUUAUUUUAUUUAUUUGUUUCGAUAUUUAAUCAAACAAACUUUUUUUUUUUAUUAGAAAAUUUUAAAAAAAUUUGUGGACCUUUUUUAAUUUAUUUGUAGGUCCCUCAAGUAUUUUGUUUUCCUAACAAUUUCAUUAUAUAUUUAAUUUGUUGAUUUUUACUGUAAAAUACGAAUUUUGUAUACGAUACAUACCUGUUUUUUUUUUUUUACAAAAAUAAUAACAAAAAUAUAUAUAUAUUUCUUCUUUUCAAUUCAAAUUUUAUUGGUUUAUUCACUAAGACCAGAGUCAGGAAUACUAUAUAUUUUUUGGCUGCGUAAUAUUUACCAACACCAGAAGUAAAAAUACUCUUAAUUAAAUAUUUGCUGAUGCUAGAAUCAUGAAUAAUACAAACAGACUAUCGGUAAUAUAGUAUAACAAACUUUAGUAAUUUAAAAUAAAAUCAACAAUGAAGUCUAUUUUAGGUAGAAUUGUAAAAAAAUGAUAAUAUUUUUUUUUUGCAACUAGUUUCAUAUUAAAAAGUUUUUAUUGAUGAAUUAAGAGUUUUAGUAAUUAUAAUAAUAAUAGAUGAUUAGUUUUUAAAGAAUUUUUUUUUAAUCUAAAAAGUAAAAUGUCAAAAAACAUGUUCUUUUCUGCAAAUUUAAAAGUUACCAUAUCGAUACGAUAACCAGUAACUUCAAGAUUUAAUUAAAUUAAGUCUACCAGCAGACAACGGAAAUUAAAGAACGAACCAGGAUGUACCUCUGUGCAUGAGCUUUCCUUUGCGCAGACAUCUGAAGUACAUGAAGAGGCCGAAGGUAAUCAGAUUAGUUGGAAUAGCCACAGCCAAGGUUGUCCGUAUUGUCCUUUUGAUAUUACCUACUUGUAAAUAUAGAGAUCAAAUAUUACAAAAUCAUAAACCAACACCUGUACACUGGAUUAAGAAGUUUUUUUAUUGUAGAAAAAAAUGGAAAGAUAGGUUAUGUCAGGGAACACUGCGUCCGCGUUUUUUACCGUGAUUUUGUCAAAAAUGGUUUCUCGUCAUUUAUUGGAUCAUACUGUCUAUAUGUACAAAGCCAUACCUGUUCGGGUACUGCCAUUACCAAUCUGUUGUUCAAGCUCAGAAGCAGCAAGUCUGAUGUAAAUUUCUGCUCCAGCCCGGCCAUCAGCAACCCCUGGAUGGUGUUGUAAGUUUAUAAGAUCUCCUUCCCAUAAAGAACACCCACUGUUAUAAUUAUAGGCAUAAGCCACGCAAGAACAAUUUCCAAAGCAAUGCAAUCUACAUCUUUCAGCACUCUCUUUCUGAUAUGUUUUUGAAUUUGCAGGUAAUGUCAGAUUCGAAAUCUUUAGGAAUCCAUCUUCCUUUCCAACACUUCUCUUAUUUUGACACUGCAAAGGAGAUUUCCUAACACAACCACUUGACCAAUCAUUUUGCACUAAUGGUUUAAAACCUCUCAGGCAUUCACAAAAGCUCGAUGAAUUUCCUUGAAAGACUCCAAAAACCCCGCAUAAACCAUAAAAUUCAGCUUGGUCUCCUGGUUGAGCACAAAAAAGAGCCCAAAAAAGACCCCAAUCAAACCAUGCGAGUUGUUGCAUCUGUCCUGAAACAUCAAUCACGGUUCUUGAAAGAUAUGAGUUAUUGUACAAAGAAUAGGUGAAGUAGCUUUCAUUUUCAUUUGAUACAUAACUAUAGUUGAAAGUAUGGCUCGAUGUCAUCUCAGGUACCAAGGCAAAUCUUUCUCCAUCCCAAUCACCACUGCUCCAAUACCUGUGUGACCUGUUCCACUCUAUGAAAAGCUGACUGCUUCCAUUUGGGUCGAUCCCAAUCGAGAACAUACCUGGUGCAGGGUCUUCUGCGUUUUUCCAGGAAAUAAGCCGCUGCACUUGCCCAGUGUGCUUGUUGAUUCCAAGCUUUCCACCAGGUAGCCAUGUGUCAGUUGGAUAAUCGAAACUCUGCCAAUAUAUGGUAGCUGGAUUUGAGCCAUCUCUUACGACAAAGUUUCCAUCAUCAAGAAGUACUGCUUCUGCUGUACUAGUAUUCGACAUUGAAGAUGCAAGAGCUGUUGACCAAACUUUUGGUGAAAUAUGUCUGUAGGACAAGAUUGCCAUCAGAUAACAAUUCAAGCUUCGAUGAAGCAGGGUAGUUGGAAGGGCUCUCCCUAUUUGCUACCCAAACAGUCGCCUUAUAUCCGAAGUUCUUAUACCAUAUUCCCAGGUAAAUGCUUAAAGAAGCGCCUGGCUGGAAGAAACCGAGUUCAAAAGCGCCGUUUCGAGAUAUUAGGGUCUCGCUUGCAGAGAGAGAUUGGCCAACCAAAAGGGUAUCACCUACAAUGGAGAAGCAAGUCCUAUGGGAAACGAAUAGCAACAACAGCAUAAAGAGCAAAAAACGUGGCUUUGUCUCAACACACAUCCUUUCUAAUUCGUGGGAUUAAGGGUGAAAGAGCUGUGACUGAGCAUGAAUCAGAGAAAGAGGAAGGGAAAAAAACAAGAAAUCCCCUGUGAAUUCAUCAACUAUAUGAUAAUGCUCUAGAUCUCUUGUCAUAUUGUAGCUGUCAGCUCUUACCAAUAAUUUUCCACAUUGACUUGGACUUUCCUUUUCUCGGUAUCCUCUCCAAUUAGAGGCUAUGCCAUUUGUUUAAUGAGUCAUGUAAUGCUGAAAUGGGGGUUGAAUUGUCAAAUUACAGUAAAAAUAUCAAUAAUAUAAGGCAUUGAAGAAAGAGAAUUUUUUUUUUUUUUGAAAUCUAGAACUUAAAUGUAAAUUUCUAUACAAUAUAUUUUUGUUUAUUGUUUUUACUUAUAUUUUAUUGAAAUUCAUGAUCUAGAUUCAGUUUCAAGUGUAUUAUAUGCUCUUAGUUUUUUUUUUUAUAAAAAAAAUCAUUGGUGCUCUAGAGUGUUUUCAUUGUAUUUUAAAAAUUGUAUCGAGGAAGAGCAGAGAAAGAGAGAGGGGUGUAUUAUAUGCUCUCGCUUUCCCUUUUGAAUUUAGCAACUAUGCGAAUACUCUGUCUCUAACAUAUUGUUGCUAUCAGCUUUCCCUUUUCGACGUUGACUUGGACUUCACGUUCGCACUAUCCCCUCCAAUUUAAGGCUUUGGCAUUGUAUUUUUUGAGUCACGUUAUCAAUAAUAUAAUGCAUGAAAGAAAGAGAAAUUUAGAUUUUUCAAAGCCAAAAACAUAAAAUAUCACAACAGCACGUGAAAAGAUACAAUUGAAAAAAAGAAAUCAUUUAUUAAAACAUAAAAUAAAAAGAAAAUGGCUCUGUCAUCGACAAUGCAUGGUGAAAGGAGACAUGUAGGCUGUCGUAUGUGCAAGAAUUUCAAAGUGCAAGAAUCUUGUAUAAGUAAAGACAAAAACAAGCAGACAGACAUAGUAUUAAGAAAUUUAUUUUAACCUUGCUCGAAAAUCUGGACAAAACAGUAUUGAGGUUGAAGAUUAUUAAAUUUUAUUUUGAUCCUUGAUUUAUGAAAAUUAUAGUUUAGUUUCUAAAAUCUAAAAAUAUUAUAAUCUGAUCCCUAAAUGUAUUUUGAGAUUCUGAACAAUGUUAUUAUGAGGUUAAGAAUGAUAAAUCUCAGUUUGAUAAUUGAUUUGGAAUAUUUUUAGGUUUUUCUCUUAAUUUUGAAAAUUUACAUUUUAGUCACUGAACUUUAUAAAAAUUACAGUCAGGCCCUAGUUCGUUCUAGACAGAAUUGAGGAUGGUUUAUUGGUGGAAUUUCAGUAUGCUUAUCUAUUUACAUUUUGGUCCUCUAAUUUUGAAAAAAUUAUGUUUUGGUCCCUGUUUUGAAAAAUUAUCGUUUUAGUUCCUAAACUUAGGAGACUAAACCUGGUUUUCUUUCAUGCGUUGGAAUAUUUUAUUUGUGUUCUUUUGAGUUGCUAUUGAGUAUAUUUUGUAUAUUUGUUGUAGGUUCUCCUAACGAUACUCAAUAGAUUUUUCAAGUCUUUCAUUUGAUAUUCCUUUUAAUCUAUAUUUUUCCGGGUGAGAUGGGAUAAUUUUUAAUAUACAUAUAAUAUAAAUAAAUAUGUAUAUUGAUUAUACGAUGAGUACGCCUAGUUAAUUUCUUGAAUAUUUAUAUAUUUUAUUUUAUUUUUCGAGUACUUAUUUAUUCUUGAAUUUGCACUUGUAAUCUGUCGAACUAAAUUUCAUUUGAUAUAAUAUAUAUUUCUUUGAUCAUUCUAUGAAUAUCUAUUAUGUCUUGAUAUAGAACUUGUCAAUAACUCCAUUCUAAAAUAUAUAUUGUUGUUUUAAUGUUUAGUCAAAACAAUUAAUUUUAUAUAUAAAAAAUUUUUAAAAAUAAAUGAAUCUGAUAUUAUUAUAUUUCACCCAGAUUUAAUUAGAUUAAUUACUGGAUUUAAUUCCCAACUCAAUUCAAAAAAUCAAAACAAUCCAGGCCAGGUUUGAUUUGACGGGUCAUCUGAUAUUAAUAUUGAUGAUUAAAGUAAACACUAUUACUGAUUAAAGUAAUCACAUGUUGCUAAAUAAAAAAUAUUAUAUAUCAAGAUAAACUUGCCACAGCAUGAUCUCUCAUUUACAGCUUUUAAUAAAAAUCUAGCCUCUGGAAUUCAACUGCUACGCCUACUAUAAUUACAUGUAAUUAAGUGCAUCUAAGACUGUAUACCUAAUUAUUAAACCUUUUUCCCCAUGACCCUCCCUGGUUCCUACAUAAAUCCAAUGAUAUCUUGGUAUUAAAAGAAACAAUCAUCUGGCAUCUAUCGCUGUUAUUGUCACAUUAGUAACGGAAGAUGCCCCAGCAGAGCUCAUCAAUUGAUGACCUUGGUUCUGCCAUGUUUCUGCCUGCAACAAACGCAGGUUGCUAGGGUUCCGGGAGAGAUACGCGGUCCUUUACAAUCAUGGAGAUGACAUCAGACAUUGUAGUCCGAUCAUCAGGGAUUUGUUGGACACAAAGGAGUCCUAUGUUUAUGUAUCUCAACAACGUAGAAGUUGAAGGAGGAUCUCCCAGGCUUGGAUCCAUCAAGUCCAAAGCUUUAUUAGAAUAUUUCCAUAACUUCCAUGCCUAUGGUAUAACAACGCAAAGUUGCAUCGUUAGAGUGGAGACUAGGAACGUAAUCAAAUAAAAUUCAAGCAGGAAGAAAAAGAAAAAGGGAGUAUAUGAAAGCUUCCCACAUGUUCAAGAAGAUGGAGGGAGUCGCUGUGGUAGAAACUAGUAUUCUUCUCGCCGCUCACAAUCUCAAGUACCAGCAACCCGAAGCUAAACACAUCAGAUUUUAUGGAGAAGAGACCCUCCAUAGCAUAUUCAGGGAACAUAUAGCCACUAACAUUUGAAAAGGUCAGCGCAGAUCAUGUUAAGAGUAGCAUGUCCUGGAAAACAGAAUUUAAGAAACUUACUGUGUUCCAACGAUCCUGUUGGUAUUUGCUUGAGUUUCAUUGCCUCUGAAAAUUCGAGCCAUCCCGAAAUCGGAUAUUUUUGGAAUAGAAUGUUUCCCAAUUAAAUGAACCAAAGUCCUUCUGAGAGUUUAUUCAAACUAUUUUAACAUUUUUCUUAGGAUAAUCAGGAUUUCUCAUUUGAACGUAAACUUACGUUAUAAACAGGUCCGAAUCCUCCCUCUCCAAGCCUAUCUGAGAACUGUCCAGUUGCAACUAAUGGCAAUUCCAUACUUUUAUUCCAUCUUUUCUUCCCAUUGCCAACAGAGCUAGAUUCAUUGCUUGUUGAGCUAGGAUCGGUAUCGAAAUCAAAGAGCAAUAAAUUGUGACUUGCAUGUUCCUUCCCGGUUUAAGAAAAAUUAAAAAUGACUGAACAUAAUCACUUUUUUGAACACAAUCACGCUUUUAUAACUUUAUAUAGAUAAAAUUUUAUGGCAAGUAAUAAUAUAAAAAAUACAAACACUACAAGAUUUCACAGUUUUACCGACGGAAAUAUUCCGUCGGUGUGUGACAGAACGUUCAUCGGUAAAGUAUUUACCGACUAUAUUACCGACGGAAUACGCCCGUCGGAAUACCUUUUGUCGGUGAUUCCACAUUCCGUCGCUAUAUCGGUCGGUAAUAAAAAAAACACAUUUACCGACGGCCCGUGCGCGCCAAAAAAAAAAAGUUUCCCGUUUGGAAUAUACCGACGGAAUAUAUUCCGUCGGUGUUAUGUAAAUACCGACGGACUACCUCCGUCGGCAAAAGUGUCGGUGAUAUUUCAUACCGACCGAAUAAAUCCGUCUGUAAAUUCGUCGGUAUUUUUAUAGCGACGGAUUAUUUCCGUCGGUGAAUAUGUCGGUAUUUUUAUACCGACGGAUUAUUUCCGUCGGUGAGUAUGUCGGUGAUGGGAUGGCAUACCUCAGACACUGUCCAAUGCCGACGGAUUUAUUCCGUUAGUAAAUCCCUGUGUAAUUUUUUUUUUUAAUUAUUUAGAAAAAAUAAUAUAAAUUAAUAGUAAUACAAACCAAUUAUGCAAAUAAAAUUUAUAUUAAGCAACAAAAACUCAAAGUUAAAUAAUAUUCAUUACAAAAUGAAUGUGUUUAAAAAAAAAACAAUUAAUAUAAAGGUGGAGGAGGAGGAGGAGGAGGAUCCAUCAAGUCCAAAGCUUUAUUAGAAUAUUUCCAUAACUUCCAUGCCUAUGGUAUAACAACGCAAAGUUGCAUCGUUAGAGUGGAGACUAGGAAAGUAAUCAAAUAAAAUUCAAGCAGGAAGAAAAAGAAAAAGGGAGUAUAUGAAAGCUUCCCACAUGUUCAAGAAGAUGGAGGGAGUCGCUGUGGUAGAAACUAGUAUUCUUCUCGCCGCUCACAAUCUCAAGUACCAGCAACCCGAAGCUAAACACAUCAGAUUUUAUUGAGAAGAGACCCUCCAUAGCAUAUUCAGGGGACAUAUUGUUGGGAUUUGCCAUUAAUGGGCAACCUACCCUAAGGGGUAGGGUUAUCAUUUGUCAAUGGUGGUUGCACCCACCAUUGACAAAUAUAUUAACUCCCAUGUGGUUAAAGUGGUGUUUGAUUUUUUGCUCAAAAAUGAAAGUUGUCAAAAUUGUGUUUUGACCAUACCACCGUGUAGAGGAGGAAGAGACGAAGCCACUGUUGAAAACCGCGUCGAAAUCGGACGCCGGACAUGUACACACGCGCCGACGAGGAGGCUGGCCAUGCGCACAGACGCGCCACGCGUCUUCUUCCCGGAUGGGCCGACCGGACCCCAAUACCAAACGACCCGACCCAUAUCACUGACCGGAUAAGGAUGAUGGCAGCAUGACGUAAUGUGACGUCAUCAUGCACAGUAAGCAUGGCCCAGGAUGACAUCAGCAUGAUGUAAUGGUGACGUCAGCAGAGUGGGACCCACUGCCAUGUCAGCAGCCGUGAGCCGCCGACCGAGCCAAGCCAAGACGAGUCGAAUGGGAGCUGAGCCGAGGGAAAGGAUUCUGUGCAGCAGAGUCUAUGUGCAACCGGGUCUGAGAGUGAAUCUGAGCUGUUGAUCAGGCCAGAAUUGUUUUGAUCAAAUCUUAGCCGUCUGAAGUGCGAUUUGGACGAUUCAAGAGUUGUUUCCAGCUAAUUUGAUCAUUUCGGAUGCAAUGGUAUGGUCCGAUCGUUGAGAUUCGAGACCAAAAAUGGUGGUGGUGAAUUAUUAAAGAAAGAUUGCCCGAUUAGGAGGCAUCUGAGGGUCGUGAUGGAGGUCGAUGGAGAUGAAGAAGAAGGUGCACAUGUUUUCCCAAUUACAUGUGCUGAACUGUUAAAGUGGAAAAUUUAAAUGCCUUGAUGGAAGCCAAAAUUGAGACACUCUGGACACCUGUUGUUUUUCGGGUCCCUACAAAAAUAAAAAUAAAAUAAAUAGCCAAAAGAGGUUAGAAAAAUAACAGAAGGCAGAAGCACUCAGAAAAUUGGUCAAGGAGUAUAAAAAUGCAAAAUUUUUUUAUAUUCUUGAAGGAUGAGAGCCCUAUUGAGAAGGAAAAUUUGAAUUUUGAGGAGAAAAGCUCAAAUUGGGAUGUUUAUGGACUUAAUUAGAUUUUUAUUUGAAUUUAUAGAGGAUUUGAUUGCAAGAAAAAUUGAUUUUUAAGUCAAUUUGGGCUUUAAUUAGAAGAAAUUUAAGUUCUGGGGCCAAAAUAUAUUUUUUAGGAAUUUAUUGGGUCAAAUCAGGGGCUUAAUUGCAUAAAUAUUGAAGUUUAAUGGCCAAUUAGGGGCUUAAUUGUGAAAAUCCGAAACCAGAGACCAAUUUGGAAAAGGCGCGAAGAUAGAGGGGGCUGUUUUGAAUUGAUUCAGGGGCCUAAUUGAAGAAAUUGGAAGUUUAUUGAUCAAUUAAGGGCUAAAUUGCAUAAAUCAGAGGCCAAGGACCAAAGUAAAAAACACGGCCAACUAUGGGGGCGGGGACCGAAAUUGGCAGGGAUGCAAUUGAAAUGAAUUAAAUAUGAUUGAGGGCUGAUUUGAAGUUUGGCGCCCUGUUUUAAUGAAACGACGCGUUUUGUCCAAAACGACGCCGUUUCAUGUUUUUAAAAAAAAAAAAAAAGAGGCACUGUUCCUCUUCUUCUUCCCCUCGAAUCUGCAACAGAAGGAAGGAAACUUUGUUUUUGUUUUUGAAAAUCCUUCCCGCCUCUCUCUCCUCGCCCCCACCGAAGCCCCACAAGACCACCGAACGGGUCACUGGCCGACCAGCCGUUGCGUGAUUGAAGGCGCACUAGCAAAAGGCACACUGCUCCUUUUUUUCCCCUAUAAAUAGAGAGAGACCGGAAGAGAGGAGAGACCGGAGGAUAGAAAAAAAAACGGACAGAGAGGGGGAUUUUUUUUGGACGAGAGAGGGCUUUUGGAAACUGAAAGGAGAGGGAAGUUUGAAACGAUGAAAGAUACUGUGAGAGUAUAGAAAAGAGAGAAACCAAAACAGAGGACGGGAGGUGAAGUUUUUAGCGGAGACAGAGGAGAGGGCCAAAAACAGAAGAGAAGGAGCCGCUGCAGAGGAACAGUUGCUGUCACCGGGCUCCCCAGCCACCGACCACCAUCCAGGUCGCCACCACCAGCAUCUCCACGAAGUUGCUGCAGGGAUGAGAGUUUGGUUGAUAGAAGGAGCAAAGGCAACCAAAGAGAAGAAGACAGGGAAGCUUGAAACAGAAGCAGAGAAGAACACAGAAGCAGCAGGGAAGAGGAAGAGCCAACCUUCGGUCAGCAACCGCCAGCAAAACAGCCACCAGCACCACCGUCAUCUCCUCUACCCAAGCUCAUCGUCGCAGGUAACUCUUCCCCUUAUCCCGUAUUCGUCUUCUUGCAUGCAGAACGUGCACUGUGCACGUUCUGCAAGUAAGAAAUUAAUUAGCUGGUUACUGUGUGCACAGUAACCAGCUAAUUAAUUCCCGGUUACUAUGCAUGUCUAUUUAAUUACCAGGUUACUGUGCAGGUGCACAAUAACCACCUAAUUAAUUAACUGGUUACUGUGUAGGUGCACAAUAACCAGUCAAUGUUCAUUUCGGGCUGGAAUAUCAGCCCAGCCCAGGUGGCUGGACUGUAGAAAGUAGGCUUGUUUUAUUUCGGGCCUAUUUUGGCCUAGUCCCCUUUUGGGCCGGGUUCGGUCUAGUAAAAAAUUUUUAUAAAAAAUAAAAAAUUUUCAAAAAUUAUUUCAAGGAAUUUGUGAUUUUUCUGUAAUUUUAUUACUGCAUUUUGGUCAAUAUCGAUUUGUAUUUUUAUACUGUGGAGAUACAAAUUCGGUAUUAAAAUACCCGGUUUUUGUCAAAGAUAUUUAUUAAAAAAAUGUUUUUGUUUUCAUGCAUACGGCCAAUACUCUAACAUGUUUUGAAUGUUUUUAUAUAAAAAAAAAAUAUUGGAAGUUUUGAAAAUGUGUUUUCGCAUAGAUUUCUUAAACACAAAUUAUUUUCUUGCAUUUCUGGAUCUUACAACAUGGUUGUAAAACUCAAAGGGUAUUGGCCAAUAUUCCAAAAACUAUAAAAAUCUUAUUUUUGGAGGAAAUUCAUUUAUUAUUUACCGCUAAUGUUUGGAUAAAGAAAUCCUUAAAAGGAUGAAUAUUCAAAAUAUUAUUGGGAGUAAUAAAUCCGCACACAUUCUUGAAAGAAGCCUUGAUUAUAAUCGAGGACAUUUCAAAAUUUUAAUUUUUUUUUAUUUCACGAUUUACGAGUCGCAAACUCUUGAAAUACUAAGGGAAAAAUAAGCUUUCAAAGCACAUGGAAUCUCCUUAGAUUUCUAUACAAAAUCAAUUGACGAGACUAGAAAACACCAACACCAUAGAUUAUAAGAGCAAACCAAACACCAAGCAGCUUACCUUAGGUAGGCGUAUUAGGGGUGCUAAUACCUUCCCUUUACGCAACCUGUCCCUUGCCUUAGAAUCUCUAAAAGACCAGUUAGGGUUUCUAGUAACCCAAAAUAUUAGGUGGCGACUCCAAAGAACCAAAUCAGUAAAACAAAACGAAAGUCGCCAGUCGAAUGUCGCAAAACAAAUUUUUGUUUUUUUUUAGGGUGCGACAUGGACGAUUUGAGGUGGAGAGUGAAAACUGAUGAAGACCAAUCUUGACGAAUCUAAGCACUGGUAGUCUCGCCAGAUGUUGAGAAAUCAGGUAUAAAACCUGUAUUCCAGAUCACUUAUAAAGGAAAGCCGCAACAAAGCUAGCAAAUGGUUGUAUAUACGGAGAGACAGUACUAUUUUCGUAUAUGUAACAGUUUGUAAUGAAACUGUUGAAGAGUAGCAGGAUGAAGGCACAAAGGGAACAGUUGGGUUCCGUAUGAUCAAGGAUCUGAUGGAGUGGUGAUUUCUCCAAAGAAGCUAGAUUUGGUGACUGUGUUUUCUCGAGGGGAGAAUUGAUGAAGACCCUGAUAAUGGAAGAGAAAUACAAGCGAGGGGAUAAAGAUUGGCACCCUAUUUUGACUUGGAUAGGUGUUGUGACAGGAUGAGCUGCUGUCAAACAUAAGCAAGGAAUAGGGAGAAAUCUGGAGAACAGAAAUUGCACGAGGGCACACGGAGAUUGUGCAGGAGUACCCGUAGGAUCCUAACGAGGUACUGUAUUGAGACAAUAGGUGCAAGGAGAAGAAGAGUUCCCAGAUGAAGCUCAGAGUAGAGACUGUUAGAAGUUGUACAACAAGAAGUCUCUUGUGCUCUUGAUAAAAGGCAACAAGCGAGGACCUUUCCAAUGCAUGCAAUGAUGGAAAGAUGAGCUGUUGUAGAAGCACCUAAUUGAGGGGGUGCUAAUGCCUGUGAUAAAAGGCGACCGCCUAUGAUGAAAGGCGAAGACACCAAAGAGAGUGGUGUAGGUGGAGCUGUCAAGCAGAAAGGCGUAGAAGCUCCAAACAUAGAAAUCGAGGUGGAGGAUUGCGAGGAGUAUGCCGCAACUUUCAAUUUCUAUGUAAUCCGUGGCAGUAAUCUCUCCCAAGUCCACAUGGGGGUAGAGAAUCUUGGAGCCACUAAAGCAUCCCAGCUGAACGAGGAUGCGACUGCCUAUGAAAGGCAAAGACACCUCAGAAGAAGGUGUGUGGGUCAUGAUAGGAGCCCUAAAUUCAGACCGCCGCACAACGACGAGCGGAGACACCUCAGAUGGAAGGUGUGAGGGCCAGGAUAGGAGCCCCAGUUCAGAAUGCCCAGAGCCAAUGUGAUGGCUGGAUAUGAGUGGACAGAUGGAUAGCCAAUGAAGUGGCUAUGAUGAGUAUGGAGACAAAUGCAUGAUUGACUUUCAUGGAUAUUGCCCCCAUGCUAAAGAUCAAUGAGCUAGAAGACAUUUGCCUUGGACAAUAAGUGUGUGACUUGUGGGGCAUUAAGACGCGGCUGCUAUGAAGGAGCAGAGGGCAUGCGCAGGUUCCGGGAACGAGUUGACUCUUGUCAAGGUGGUGAGCUCGGAGAUGGCAUUGUAAUACUCAGAGUAUAAAGACAGAUAUGGAUCAACCUUUAAUGGGCUGCCCCCAUAGGUAAAGGUGGAAAGCUACCUAGACUCUUGAGACUAAGAGUGAGAGACUCACGGAGAAGUAAGGCGUGGUUCCUAGGGUGGAACAGAGGGCAGGCGCAACUCCUGGAUGAGUAGACUCUUGGAAGAGUGGUGAGCUCGUGAUCAUAUUGAGAUACUCGGAUAAUGACUGUCGCACUUGGAAAUAUCUGUUUAAGGGGGUGCUGUAAGCCUUAGUGUGAGGCUUGAUAAAUCAUUCCGGACCGAGCAUGGUUGAUACGCUCGAAGGGGAAUGUUUUCCCAGAGAAAAGCGUUAACACUCUUCAGAUGUGAAGUGGCAGACCAUCUGGUUGUAGUGAUCCUUUUGUGUGAGAAAAGGUGUGCUUUGGUGACUCUGGUGAUUGAAAGGUUUGGCGAGUACCUGUAAACUUGGCCACAGACGCUCUCAGAAUGGUAAGCUUGGAAGAGCUGCAGGAUGCAAGCUUGUGCUGAAGAAGCAAGAGGACAAUUGCCCAUAUAAAUGUCAAAGGGGGUGAUUGUUGGGAUUUGCCAUUAAUGGGCAACCUACCCUAAGGGGUAGGGUUAUCAUUUGUCAAUGGUGGUUGCACUCACCAUUGACAAAUAUAUUAACUCCCAUGUGCAGCUGCUGGAAAGAAGAAAAGGAGCCACCAUCCUUGCCUAUAAAUAGGCAACAACAAGAGAGCAUAAGGUGUGAGAGUGAGAGUGAGCAUGUGAAGGGAUUAGAGAGAAAGAGAGAGCUGCAAUGGCAGCAGCUGCAAGGGCAGCAAGAGAGAUGGGAGUUGAGUGAUGAGAUCCUCCUCCAUGUAUUUAUUGUAUCCUUUCUCUAUCUCUAAAUAAAAUGAACCUCUCCCGAAGAUGUAGGCGGUUUUGCCGAACCACGUAAAAUAUUGUGUCAGUGUGCUUACUCCUCCCUUGAGCAGAGAUCAGUACAUCACCGGUCGGAAUCCCCAACAAUAGCCACUAAGAUUUGAAAAGGUCAGCGCAGAUCAUGUUAAGAGUAGCAUGUCCUGGAAAACAGAAUUUAAGAAACUUACUGUGUUCCAACGAUCCUGUUGGUGUUUGCUGGAGUUUCAUUGCCUCUGAAAAUUCGAGCCAUCCCGAAAUCGGAUAUUUUUGGAAUAGAAUGUUGCCCUAUUAAAUGAACCAAAGUCCUUCUGAGAGUUUAUUCAAACUAUUUUAACAUUUUUUCUUAGGAUAAUCAGGAUUUCUCAUUUGAACGUAAACUUACCUUAUAAACAGGUCCGAAUCCUCCCUCUCCAAGCUUAUCUGAGAGCUGUCCAGUUGCAACUAAUGGCAAUUCCAUACUUUUAUUCCAUUUUUUCUUCCCAUUGCCAACAGAGCUAGAUUCAUUGCUUGUUGAGCUAGGAUCGGUAUCGAAAUCAAAGAGCAAUAAAUUGUGACUUGCAUGUUCCUUCCCGGUUUAAGAAAAAAAAUAAAAAUGACUGAACACAAUCACUUUUUUGAACACAAUCACGCUCUUAUAACUUUUAUGGAUAAAAUUUUAUGGCAAGUAAUAAUAUAAAAAAUACAAAGUUAUUAGAACGAUGACCAUAUUUUAUGGUGAUGCAAUAGUUGUAGUGGUGAUAAAGGUUGGGGUGGGAAUGGAGGGGUGAUGGUGGUGGUAGUGGAGGAGUGAUAAGUGUUAGGAUAUUGUCAUUUAGUGGCAAUACUCCACCACCAAGCAAGUGGAAGCACCAUGAGUGCCACUAAUGGUGGCAUGUUUUAAGGCCUUCUUAUCCCACCAUGAUUGACAAGUGUGCUGAAGAAACUUACCAUUCAUGCCUAUAAAAGAUGCAUAUUUAUGGAGAGCAAAAGUGAGAGAGUGUAGAAAAUGAAGUGAAGAGAAGAAGAGAGAAAGAGGAGCUGCUGCCAUAUGCAGCAGCAUGUGUGAGCUGGGAGUUGAGUAAGAGUGGAUGUGAUCCUCCUCUUCCAUGUAUUUAUUGUAUCAUUUCUCUAUCUCUAAUAAAAUGGACCUCUCCCGUGGAUGUAUGCGAUUUGUCGAACCACGUUAAAUAUUGUCUCAAUAUGCUUGCCCUCCUUUGAACAAUUAUCAAUACAUCACCGGUCGGAUUUCCCCAACAAUAAGGUGAUGGUGGUGAUAACAAUAUAAUGAUGGAGUAGUAGCAACAAGGAUGGUAGCAGCCAUUGUGGUAGCAGUGUCAGCGGAGGUCCUAGCUGCAAGAUAGUGGUGGUUAAAAUUAUUGCAUGAUAUUGUAAGUAGAUUAGUGCCCCUAAAAUAUUUUAUACAACUUUAUAAGGUGAAAAUUAUUUUCAAUAAACAAAUUAAGUUUAAUGUUAGACAGGGAAACAAGUACAUGAAAAUCAUCUAGCUCUUGCAUUAUCAAACAUCUAAUAAAGCAUCCAAAAACCAUCUAAGAUUAACAUAUAAGAAAAUCGCAAUGGUCAUUUCAUUUCUAUAAAAAAACCCCAUCAGAGACACAGGAUUUUUCUUUCAUUUAUCGAAGAACAUUAACAGGAAAAUCCUACUUCCAAACAGAGAAUCUUGUGUAAGGAAAGACAAAAACAAGCAGACCGACUUGGUAUUGUCAAUUAUCUAGUUGCAUCUCCUUGAUUUUGUUCCUUAAUAUAUGUAACCACACCAGGCAAUCUUCAACAUGACAGCACCCCCUCAGCAAAAAAAAUAAUCUGAUCACAUUGCCUUUGCUUUGAAAUAAAAUAAGACCUAGCAUUUAGUUGCAGGUAGAAGGGGACGAUCGCUUUCUUUUCUUCCCAUGCUAUUCUUGUUGCUGCUUUAAUCUCUUAUGCCUGUUUGGUUACAGGGAUUUCCAGCAGUUUCCAUUGCAGGUGAGCUUUUCUAGCCUUGGCAACAAGAUCUAGCCUGAAUUCUGAUAGAUAUAAGCAAUUGGUGUCUUGAAGAGUGUUUGGUGCACAGGCAGCAGUCGAUUUAUCAACAUCUGACGGGCUAAUUAUGUGGUAUUAUAAGAUGAAUUUGUACUAAAAGGAAAAUGAUUUUUUAAUAUAUUUAAGAUCUGAAUUAAAUGUGUUUUAUGAACACUUGAUUUGAUGUUGUUCAUGUUUCAAUACAACGAGAAUAAUAGGAAAAACUGAAACAAACUAUUGUACGAUUCAAAUCGGAGAACUUAUAAAAAUAAGCUUGAUCUACGUUCCAUACUCAUAGCUUCCUCUGAUGAAGUAGCUUCAUGUCCUUUAGACCUAUUGAUGAAAAAACUAUCUCCCAUCUAUCGCCGUUAUUGUCAUACUAUUCACGGAAGGUACCCCAGAAGAGCUCAUCAAUGGUCUUUGUUCCGCCAUGUUUCUGCCUGCAACAAAAGCAGGUUGCUUAGGUUCUGGGAGGGCCACGUGUUCGGCACAGGAACCUAAUUGAACUUAGGUUCUGCAAGAAAAUGCUGACCAAAGAGAAAGAAAUCCAAGCUUUUAUUUGGCAUGUACUCAUAGAUUAGCAUUUUCUCAUCCCGUUCAAUACAGGAACCUAAUAGCCUGACAAGAUUCCGGUGCUGGAGUUUGGCGAUUAGAAUUGUCUCAUUUCUGAACUCCUCGAGUCCCUGCCCAGAUCUUUCUGAAAGCCUCUUCACUGCUAUUUCCAGUCCCUUGGAUAAUUUUCCCUAUUAAAUGAACCAAAAGUAAUUCUGAAAGUUCAUUCAAACUAUUUUAAUUUUUUUCUGAAAAGGUUAGAAUAAUCAUUUGAACGUAACUUACCUUAUAAACAGGUCCAAAUCCUCCCUCUCCAAGCUUGUCUGAGAAUUGUCCAGUUGCAACUGAUACGCUCUCAUAGCUGAACAAUGGCAAUUCCAUAUUCUUACUCCAUCUAUUCUUCCGAUUGUCAACAGAGCUAGAUUCUUUGUUAGUUGAGCUAGGAUCGGUAUCGAAAUCAAACAGCAAUAAAUCGUGACCUUUAUAUUCCUUCCCUGUUCAAGAAAAAAAUUAAAAAUGAUUGACCACAAUCACUUUUUUGAAAUAUCCAGCAAUUCUGAUAAUAUCAAGCAAAAAUGUAACAGCUUCAGGUUAUUAUAAUCACAAUUUCUGACAUUAAAAAGGAUUCCAAAUGUCAAUUUUUCGUCAUGAAAAAGAAACUUUGGUGUAAGAUAUUUUACCCAUAGACAACCUUUUACAUUUUAUAUGAGAAGUUUUACGGAUCUCGGUAAGUAAUGAUGUGGUGGUUUACAGGAGACAAACACACGAAAAUCAGAUUUCAGUUAAAUAUUUUAGGCAGUCUUCAAUUCAAAAAUAUGUCUUAACUCUAACAAAAUUAAUCUUAUCAUCUGCAUACCCAACACAUAAUUACAUAGGAGGGUUGUUUCUUACUUUUCAUUACCAGUGUCAUAAAUUAAUUUUUUAUUCUUUUAUCUUUUUUUAUUUUUUUAAAUAAAUGAUGAUAAAAAAAUGAAAAAUGAAUGAAAUGAAGAAAAUGAAAAAAUGAAUGAAAUAGAAAAAAUGAAAUGAAUGAAGAAUAAAUCGAAAUUUAGGUAAAGAUAAUAUAAAUUAAAAGUUUAAGGACUUAAUUAAACUUUGAAUUACUUUAUUAAUCAAAUCAAAAGCUUAAUUAAAUAAUUAAUAUGUCUAAGGCCUUAAUUGAACUUAGAAUUAGUUUAAUUAAAUCAGGGACUGAAUUAAAUAAAUAUUAAAGUUUGGGGCUGAUUUGAGUCAAAAUUGCAAGAAACGAAAAUCUAAUAACUAAAGAGAAAAGAAAUGGAUAAUAUAGGGAAGCUUAAUUAAUUUUUUCAGUGGUAAAUGUGAAAAUAUUAAAAGUUGAAGAUUCAAUUAAAGACUGAAUUGAAAAUAUCAGAAAUCAAGAACUUUUAUGCGAAAGACUCUAAAAUAUAGGGGUGCAAUUACAAUUUACCCAGGGGUUUGGUUACAAAGGUUCAUAGAUUGAAUGACCAAAAUGAAAAUGGCCAUUCCCAACCGGGACAACUGGAAGGAGAAACGGCUGCAAAUCAACGGAAGCCUGCCAGCUGCCCCAUGAUGCCUGCCGUUACAAAGGCAAGAACGCAUGGCAUUCUCUGGCUUUAUAAAAGCCGGAGAAAGGGCAUGACGAGGAGGGAGAGAAAAAGACACGAACAAGAAAAAAACGAACGGAGAGAAAAACCAGAGAAGCACAGGUAGAGAGAGAGAGAGAGAGAGAGAGAGAACCAGAGACACAGACAUGGAGGAACAAACAGGGCGAACCAACACGGACAGAGAGGAAACCAGAAGAACAAGCAAACACAGGAGACAAAGUAAACACAGACAGAACAAAAAGAGAAGAACGAAUAACACAGAGACGAGACGAAGAGCAGGAGACAGACAAAAAACACAGAGAGCCGGGAAGAAGCAGAAAAGGAAGGAAACAAAAAAAGAGAGAGGCACAGGAUGAGAAGGCUAAGGAACAGAGGAGAGGGGAGGCCAAUAGCAGAAAGACGAUCACUGAUCUUCUUCCAGAACUCCAGUCUCCAGCGACAAAACACCACCUCCAGGUAAGCUUCUUUCGUUUCCCUCCCUUUAGAAAUUAUUACCCUGUCACUGUGCAUGCUAAUUUCUUUAUACGUGAACAUCAUUUACUUUUAGUUUUGUAUAAUGAUUUAUAAAAAAGUGUAAGGAAAAAAAAGAAAAACUUAAGAUAAGAACAAAAAAAAUGAUAUAAAUAAGUCAAAUGUAAAACGAUAAAUAUUCCAAGUAUAAAGAAUAAAAAUAAUAUUUUUUAUUCAAAAAAACAUAUAUAGAAAAAAAAACUAAAAUAUAUUAUAAAAAAAUGAAGAUAAUAAAAAAAUUGGUGAUAAAUAGAUUAAGUAUAAAGUGAUGAAUAUACCAAGUAUAAUGAAAAGGAAAAGAAAAAAAAUCUAACAAAAAUUAAAAAAAAAAGAAAAAAAAAAGAGAGAUUUGUCGUAAAAAAAAUUAGAAAAAAUCCCAAUCAUGUAAUUUCUACCUUGAAAAAGGAUUUCCUUUAUGUAUAUAUAUAUAUAAAUGGAAUACCACUUGACAAGGACUUUUAACUAUUCAAUUGAAUUCUUGUGGCUCAAGCGGCAGCUAGCUUUUACACGACCAUUUUUUAGCAGUUUUAAGGGCGGUCUGGGAAGAUUACGUAUAUGUUCUUUGAAAAGUUAUAAAUUAUAAUUUUUGAAAAUAACAUAUAAAAAGAAAUUAUGAUAUUAGCUUUUAAAAUAUCAUUAAAUAUUUACAGCCACAUAUAUAUAUAUAUAUAUAUAUAGCCGCAGUACCUAAAAUAAUGAUAUUAAUUUCCAAACGGGCGCUGAUUGGUACCCUUUCUUGUUUCUUGACAGGAGAAGUCCAAAACAAACGAGACAGGCAUUGUUCGUCUGCAUAUAUUUGUUCAAGGACACCAUUUAUGGUUAAUUAAAGCCACCAGAGAACUUGUCCAAACAUUGACAGCUACGGCACUCGUCCAUUAUAAUGCAAAAACUAUAGCGCCUCCAGAUCAUGUCGAUAGAAAAAGCUUCAACGAAUUCGUGAUGGAAAACGUCCUGAUCCCACCAGAUAGGUUUAUGAUCAGUUCGCAUAUCAUAGUCCAAAUCUACGCACUCAUUGAGUGUGGUGCUCAUGCUGGAUUCCACAACCUCGUUCUUCAAUUUCUUAUGUUUUACGUUUUCAGUCUCAUUCUGCAAGAAUCCAUAUCUGUUAUUGAUACCGUAACAAUCCCAAGAUCUCAAAAUUCCUGCUUGUUCUCCAUCCAUUUCUUCCCUCAAUACAGGCGCUUCAGCUUCAAUAUGAUGAGAGUCUACCUCAGUAAGCUCAAAUUAAACUACACCUAUCUCAGUAAAUAAUCUAACAAAACUUUCACUCUGAAAUUAGUUUUCUUUUUCUUUUUUUCUCUGUUUUUCAGCCAACAUAUACUGAAAAACAGUUCAUCCACGUCGAUAAACAGCGUUGCCUUUUCACCAGUGGACCUCAUAACAAUUCCAUGAUCGAUCCACAGAAACCCGGCAAAGCAAUAUUGAGAUCAAAAUAACUCCAUUUUCUCAGAAACCAAACAAAUCUUAACAAUAUAUGACUGGAAGACUUACAAGCAUCUAGAACCCUGCCUGGUAAACAAUAUUAAUCAAGAACAGAACAAAAUAAGUCAGUUCGUUCAUUUGCUUCCAGGUGCUUGAGAUCACAGUUGCUUGCUAUGCCCUUUCUCUAUUACACCAGCUCGAUUGAGCCAUGCUUCCAGAUUUCAUAAAAUUAAAGACAGGCUUAAGCUAGAACUUGCAGAGUGUUCCUCUGGCCAAAAAAAUGCGAUGCCUUUAUGCAAAACCUACUACCUGCACACAACCAGGCUCUACAUCUACCCUCACUACGGAACAAAUGCUCAUAGGUCAAAGAAACAUGAAGAUUCUAAGAUUUUCAAAUUCAUAUACAAAAGCUUCCCUGUCACUUUUUACGUAAUAAAAAAGCUUCUUUCGCUUGAAUACUAUUUUGUUUUCCUAACAAUUUCAUUAUAUAUUUAAUUUGUGAAUUUUUAGCGAAUUUAGUAUACAAUACAUAUCUAUUUUUUUAACAAAAAAAUAUGUAUUUCUUGUUUUCAAUUUAAAUUUUAUUAGUUUAUUUACUAAUGUCAGAGUCAUGAAUACUAUAUGUUUUUUUAUUACGUAAUAUUUACCAACACCAGAAUUAAAAAUAUCGAUAAUUGAAUAUUUAUUGAUGUUAGAAUCAAGAAUAAUACAAAGCAGACUAUCGGUAAUAUAAUAUAACAAACAUUUAGUAGUUUAAAAUAAAAUCAGUAAUGAAAUCUAUCUUAGAUAAGAUGUUAAAGAAGUAAUAAUACUAUAUAUAUAUAUAUAUAUAUAUAUAUAUAUUCAUAUCAAAAAAAUCUUUAUUGAUCAAUUUUAGUAAUUACAAUACAAGUGAGGACUCUUUAAAUAGAUUUUUCUUUCUCUAAAAAGUAAAAUGUCAAAAACAUGUUCUUUUCUCCUAAUUAAAUUUUUUAAAGUGACCAUAUCGAUACGAUAACCAGUAACUUCAAGAUUUAAUUAAAUAAAGUCUACCAGCAGACAACGGAAAUUAAAGAAAGAACCAGGAUGUACCUCUGUGUAUGAGCUUUCCUUUGCGCAGACAUCUGAGUACAUGAAGAGGCCGAAGGUAAUCAGAGUAGUUGGAAUAGCCACUGCCAAGGUUGUCCGUACUGUCCUUUUGAUAGUACCUACUUGUAAAUAUAGAUCAAAUAUUACAAAAUCAUAAACCAACACCUGUACAAUGGAUUAAGAAGUUUUUUUAUUGUAGAAAAAAUGGAAAGAUAGGUUAUGUAUCUCACUUUUUUCGACAGGGAACACUGCGUCCGCGUUUUUAUCUGAAAAUACAAGACCGUGAUUUUGUCAAAAAUGGUUUCUCGUCAUUUAUUGGAUCAUACUGUCUAUAUGUACAAAGCCAUACCUGUUCGGGUACUGCCAUUACCAAUCUGUAGUUCAAGCUCAGAAGCAGCAAGUCUGAUGUAAUUUCUGCUCCAGCCCGGCCAUCAGCAACCCCUGGAUGGUGUUGUAAGUUUAUAAGAUUUCCUUCCCAUAAAGAACACCCACUGGCAGGGGCGUAACUAAGAUUAUUUGUUAGGGGGGCCAAAAAAUAUAAUAUAUAUUUUUAAUUUAUUAUAUAUAAAAAGUAAAAAUAAAAUAAAAACUACUUGAUUUAGUUUUAUUUAAAGAACGUAUUACAAAAUAUAUAAUAAUCUUUGUACCUAUUAAAUACAAACAUACAAAAUAUAUAAGAAGCAUUAACUAAAACGAAACAUUAUUUAUGUUUAAUAAACUUUGAAAUAAAAUAAUAAAUAAUAAUUCUUACAUAUUUAUUUUAAUUGUGCUCGUCGUUCUUUCAUCGAAUAGAAAUCAUCGAUUAUCAUAUCAAUUGGGAAUCUUUCAGCAAUUUAUUUUUCUAUAUAGACAAUCAAAUAAUUUGCAAGAAAAUCAUCCUCCAUCCGAUUGCGAAGUCUUGUUUUAACAAUCUUCAUCGCUGAGAAAGCUCUUUCAGUAGUUGCUGUCGAAACAGGAAGAGUCAAGAUAAGCCGAAUCAACCUGUCAAUGAGUGGAUAAAUUGUUGAUUUUUCUGUUUCAACCAAUCCUUGACAUAAAUCUGCAAUUGAUGACAUAUUCUUUAACUUUGGAUGAUUGGGUACAUCAACCUCAUAAUGUUGCAACUGAAAUCUCAAAUGAAUUUUUUCUUGGUCAGAAAAAUCUUCAGGAUAGAACUUGUCAACAAGCAAGCAUAUAUCUUCAACAUUGAAUAAUUUAUAGCUAUUUCUAGGAUCUAAAGUUGUGCUCAAUUUAAGAAGCUCGAUCGCCUGCUCAUUGAAUCUGUUAUUUAGCUCUUGUAAUUGAUGAUCAAUGAUAGCUGUAAAUAUAUCAACUCGGUAAUGAGGCUCAAUUGUUACUGAUUUUGUUUUACGACGAGAUCGUCCCACACUAGAAAAACAAGUAUCCAUAUCAGGAACUUCAAUGUCUUGAUGCUUACAAAAUGAUGUCACUUCUUCUAAAAGAGUUUCCCAACCAUCGUCUCUUAACUUCUGAAUUAAAGUCUUUGUGCUAGUCACCAAAUGCAUAGCAUUUAAAAUGUCUUGAGAUUUUUGUUGCAAUGCUUGACAAAGCAUAUCAGUAAUUCCCAUAACAUUCUUCAUUAUAUGUAAGAAGAAUGCAAAAUCAAAUGACAUUAGCAACUUAAAUGAAAAGGCCGCAUCACCUCGUUGAGAAUAAGUAGAUCCAUCUAAAGCAAUGUUCUCAAGAACCAAGCAAGUUGCCCCAUACAUUUUUAUCAAACUGCAAAUUGAUUUGAAAUGCGAACUCCAUCUGCUAUCUCCAGGUCGUUGCAAACCACCUACUUGAUUAACUCCUUUACCCGUUUCAAUCUCACCAAUAUCAACUAGAUGCUCAAUUGUAGCUGCUUGAAAAGCCCAUAACUCAUCAUUACGCUUGCAAGAAGCACUAACAAUGUUAAUAAUAAAGAUCAAAUUCUGAAAGAAAGUGUGAACAUCAGAUAUUUCUCUAGCUGCAGCAAUAAGAGCCAAUUGUAACUGAUGAGCUAAGCAAUGUACAUAAUAUGCAUAAGGGCAAUCAUUAAUGAAUAAAGCUUGCAAACCAUUCCACUCUCCACGCAUAUUACUGGCACCAUCAUAUCCUUGACCCCUAAUAUUUUGAACAUCAAGAUUAUGAUGAGAUAAAACAAAGGAAAUCUUUUCCUUAAGAGUUGCAGUUGUUGUAUCUUUGACAUGAACUAUAUCCAAAAAUCGUUCUCGUAUAAAUCCAUUUCUAUCAACAAACCUAAUAACAAGGGCCAUUUGCUCUCUUCUAGAUUCAUCUCGAGCUUCAUCAACAAUUAAACAAAAUCUUGCAUCACCAAUCUCAUGACGAAUUGAAGACUGAACAUUUCUAGCAAAGACAUGCAAAAUUUCCUUCCCAUAAAGAACACCCACUGGUAUAAUUAUAUGUUGGGAUUUGCCAUUUAAUAGGGCAACCUACUCUAAAGAGUAGGUUGCCAUUUGUCAAUGGUGGUUGCACCCACCAUUGACAAAUGUAUCACCCAUGUGCAGCUGCUGGAAUGAAGAUAAGAAGCUGUCAUUGUUGCCUAUAAAAGGCACCAAGUUAGAGAGAGCAACGUGAGAAGGAAAGUAAAGCCAAAGAUGUGAGAAAUGUAGGAGAGAGUGGGCUGCCAAGGCAGCCAGCAGUAGCUGCCAUUGCAGCACUGAAAAAAGAAAAAUAGAGUGAGGUUGAGAGUUGCUAAAAAGGGAAUGAUUCCUCCUCCUCUAUUGUUGUAAAUCUUGUUCUUUCACUAUAUAAUCAAAUGGCCUCUCCCGUGGAUGUAGGCGGUUUACCGAACCACGUUAAAUAUUGUAUCAGUGUGCUUGUCCUCUCCGUUGAGCAAAGAUCAAUACAUCACCGGUCCGAAUUCCCCAACAUUAUAGGCAUAAGCCACGCAAGAACAAAUUUCCAAGCAAUCCAAUCUACAUCUUUCAGCACUCACUUUCUGAUAUGUUUUUGAAUUUGCAGGUAAUGUCAGAUUCGAAAUCUUUAGGAAUCCAUCUUCCUUUCCAACACUUCUCUUAUUUUGACACUGCAAAGGAGAUUUUCCUAACACAACCACUUGACCAAUCAUUUUGUACUAAUGGUUUAAAACCUUUCAGGCAUUCACAAGAGGAGCUCGAUGAAUUUCCUUGAAAGACUCCGUAAACACCACAGAAACCAUAAACAUGAGCUUGGUCUUUUGGUUGAGACCAAGAUAUAAUCCAAUUCCAAUAACCUUCCGACCAAUAGAGUUGUUGCAUCUGUCCUGAAACAUCAAUCACCGAUCUUGAAACAUAUGAGGUAUUGUACAAAGAAUAGGUGAAAUAGCUUUCAUUUUCAUUUGAUACAUAACUAUAGUUGAAAAUAUAGUUCAAUCUCAUCUCAGGCGCCCAGGUAAAUCUUUCUCCAUCCCAAUCACCACUGCUCCAAUACCUGUGUGACCUGUUCCACUCUAUGAAAAACCGACUGCUUCCAUUUGGGUCGACCCCAACCGAGAACAUACCUGGUGCAGGAUCUUCUGAGUUUUUCCAGGAAAUAAGCCGCUGCACUUGCCCAGUGUGCUUGUUGAUUCCAAGCUUUCCACCAGGUAGCCAUGUGUCAGUUGGAUAAUCGAAACUCUGCCAAUAUAUGGUAGAUGGAUUUGAGCCAUCUCUUACGACAAAGUUUCCAUCAUCAAGAAGUACUGCUUCUGCUGUACUAGUAUUCGACAUUGAAGAUGCAAGAGCUGUUGACCAAACUGUUUCGGUGAAAUUCAUCAGCAAGACAAGAUUGCCAUCAGCUGACAGUUCAAGCUUCGAUGAAGCUGGGUCGUUUGAAGGGCUCUCCCUGUUUGCUACCCAGACAUAUAUCUUAUUUGCGAACUUCUUAUACCAUAUUCCCAGGUAAAUGUUUACUGAAGUGCCUGGCUUGAAGAAACCGAGUUCAAAAAUGCCGUUUUGAGAUAUUAGGGUCUCGCUUGCAGAGAGAGAUUGGCCAACCAAAAGGGUAUCACCUACAAUGGAGAAGCAAGUCCUAUGGGAAACGAAUAGCAACAACAGCACAAAGAGCAAAAAACGUGGCUUUGUAUUAACACACAUCCUCUCUAAUUCGUGGGAUUAAGGGUGAAAGAGCUGUGACUGAGCACGAAUCAGAGAACGAGGAAGGGAAAAAAACAAGAAAUCCCUUGUGAAUUCAUCAACUAUAUGAUAAUGCUCGAGAUCUCUUGUCAUAUUGUAGCUGUCAGCUCUUAGCAAUAAUUUUCCACAUUGAAAAAAAUAUCUCCCAUCUAUCGCUGUUAUUCACGGAAGGUACCCCAGCUCAUCAACGGUCUUUGUUCUGCCACGUUUCUGCCUGCAACAAAAGCAGCAGGUUGCUUAGGUUCUGGGAGAGCUGCUUGUUCAUUUACAAUCAUGUGCACACAGACAUUGUAGGCCGAUCAGCAGGAAUUUCUUGGACAAAGGAGUCCUAUGUUUAUGUAUCUCAACAACGUAGAAGUUGAAGGAGGAUCGAUCUCCCAGGAUUGGAUCCAUCAAGUCCAAAGCUUUAUUAGAAUAUUUCCAUAACUUCCAUGCCUAUGGUAUAACAACGCAAAUGCUGCAUCAUUAGUGUGGAAACUAGGAAAGUAGUCAAAUACAAAUUAAAAUGGAAGAAAAAGAAAUAAGCGUAUAUGAAAGCUCCCCACAUGUCCAAGAAGAUUGAGGGAGUCGCUGUGGUAGAAACUAGUAUUCUUCCUGACGCUUACAAUCUCAAGUACCAGCACCCCGAAGCUAAACACAUCAGAUUUUAUCGAGAAGAGGCCCUCCAUAGCAUAUUCAGGGGACAUAUAGCCACUAAGAAUUGGUAAGGUCAGUGCAGAUCAUGUGAAGAGUAGCUGUUACUGCAAAGUGGAAUUCAAGAAACGUACUAAGUUCCAACGACCCUGCUGGUGUUUGCUUGAGUUUCGUUGCCUCCGAAAAUUCGAGCCAUCCAGAAUCGGAUAUUUUUGGAUUCAUUUCACUGUGUAAUAGAAUAUUGCUAGGUUUUAAAUCCCUGUAAAUGAUUCGUAACUGUUGCUACCAAUUUUUUAUUUUAUUUUGGAAAAAAUUUCAAAAAAACCAAAAUAUAACAAAAAACUAAAAAAUAUAUUCUUCAAGUCUUUGCGUCGUCUGUCGUCUGUAGUGUUUUUUUCUACGCGUUCUUGUUAACCCAGUUCAAAAAUGUCGUUUUCAAAUAUUAAUGUCUGUCUUCCAGAGAGAGAAUGGCCACUCAAAAGGAUAUCAGCUCCAAUGGAAAAGCAAGUCUUGUGAGAAACGAAUAGCAACAAUAGCACAAAAAGCAAGAAACCUGGCUUUGUCACGUCGCGCCUCCUCUUUAAUUCGUGGGAUUAAUGGUGUUUGAACAAAAAAUCCCCUUUGAAUUUAGCAACUAUAAGAAUACUGUCUCUAACAUAUUGUUGCGAUCAGCUUUAAUUUCCCUUUAAUUUUCGACGUUGAGUUGGACUUCACGUUCGCACUAUCCCCUCCAAUUUAAGGCUUUGGCAUUGUAUUUUUUGAGUCACAUAAUCAAUAAUAUAAUGGAUGAAAGAAAGAGAAAUUUAGAUUUUUCAAAGCCAGAAACUUAUAAAUGAGAAAUUCUAUAUAGUAUAAUUUAAUUAGUGUAUUGUAUGUUCUUUUUUUUUUUGGAAAUACAAUAAUGAUCAUUGGUGCUCCAGGGUGUUAUAAUUUAUUUAUUUUUGAAAACAAUUGAAGAGGAGAAAAUAAGGGAGUGUUCAGUAAUAGAAAAUAUUUUAUUGGAUAAAUUAUUCUUUUCUUAUUCGUUUAUUUUUUACUAAAAUAUUUUUUUAUUAGUAGCAUGUUUCUUCUUCUUCUUCUUUUUAUUUGAGAAAAGCCCCUUUGUUUUUUAUUCUGGCCUUUUCUUUUAUUUUUUAAUACUAUAAAUUUAAAUACUGUUUCAUUAAAUCAGUCUGUAAUUUAAUUCUGAAAUUCAAGCAAACACCUUAAUUUUCAAGUAUUUCAAAACAAAAUACACAAACAACGUGUGAAAAUAUAUAAUUGAAAAAAAGAAUCAUUUAUUAAAACAUAAAAUAAAAAGAAAAUGGGUCUGUCAUCCACAAUGCAUUGUGAAAGGAUACAUGUAGGCUGUCGUAAGUGCAAGAAUUUCAAAGUGCAAUUGAAAAAAAGUUGACACAUUCUUGUCGUUACAAUUUUCUUUCGUUAGAAAAGAAAAUUUACUGUCAAAUUUAGCUUAAUACCAGUACUGGGAAUCCAUCAGAACCCUUCUAGCUCUUGCAUAUCAGACAUCUAAUAAAGCAUCCAAAAACCAUCUAAGAUUAACAUAUAAGAAAAUCGCAAUGGUUAUUUCAAUUCUAUAAAAACCCCAUCAGAGACACAGGAUUUGUCUUUCAUUUAUCAAAGAACAAUUAACAGGAAAUCAUACUUCCAACAGAGAAUCUUGUAGAAGUAAAGACAAAACAAGCAAACAGACUUAGUACUGUCGAAUAUCUAGUGGCAACUCCUUAGUUUUGUUCCUUAAUAAAUGCAACCACACCAGGCAAUCUUCAAAAUAUCAGCACCCCUCAGCAAAACCAGUUAUUCAGGCAAUCAGGUGACGAGCUGCUUGGAAGGAAGGAAGGAAGGAAGGUAUUGGACUGGCUGUGUCAGUGUUGGCCUGUUGGGUCCAUUUAGCCUACUCAACCGCUUCAAGCCUUCAGCAUCUGACGGGCUAAUUAUGUGGUAUUAUAAGAUGAAUUUGUACUCAAAGGAAAAUGAGUUUUUAAUAUAUUUAAGAUCUGAAUUAAAUGUGUUCUAUGAACACUUGAUUUGACGUUGUUCAUGUUUCAAUACAAUGAAAAUAAUAGGAAAAACUGAAACAAACAAUUGUACGAUUCAAAUCGGAGAACUUAUACAAAUAAGCUUGAUCUAAGCUCAUACUCAUAGCUUCCUCGCUCUGAUAUUGAAGUAGCUUCAUGUCCUUUAGACCUCUUGAUGAAAAAACUAUCUCCCAUCUAUCGCCGUUAUUGUCACAUUAUUCACGGAAGGUACCCCAGAAGAUCUCAUCAAUGGUCUUUGUUCUGCAUGUUUCUGCCUGCAACAAAAGCAGCAGGUUGCUUAGGUUCUGGGAGAGCUGCUUGUUCAUUUACAAUCAUGUGCAUAACAUCAGACAUUGUAGGCCGAUCAGCAGGAAUUUAUUGGACACAAAGGAGUCUUGUAAAUAUAGAGAUCAAAUAUUACAAAAUCAUAAACCAAUACCUGUACACUGGAUUAAGAAGUUUUUUUAUUGUAGAAAAAAAUGGAAAGAUAGGUUAUGUCAGGGAACACUGCGUCCGCGUUUUUUACCGUGAUUUUGUCAAAAAUGGUUUCUCGUCAUUUAUUGGAUCAUACUGUCUAUAUGUACAAAGCCAUACCUGUUCGGGUACUGCCAUUACCAAUCUGUUGUUCAAGCUCAGAAGCAGCAAGUCUGAUGUAAAUUUCUGCUCCAGCCCGGCCAUCAGCAACCCCUGGAUGGUGUUGUAAGUUUAUAAGAUCUCCUUCCCAUAAAGAACACCCACUGUUAUAAUUAUAGGCAUAAGCCACGCAAGAACAAAUUUCCAAGCAAUGCAAUCUACAUCUUUCAGCACUCUCUUUCUGAUAUGUUUUUGAAUUUGCAGGUAAUGUCAGAUUCGAAAUCUUUAGGAAUCCAUCUUCCUUUCCAACACUUCUCUUAUUUUGACACUGCAAAGGAGAUUUCCUAACACAACCACUUGACCAAUCAUUUUGCACUAAUGGUUUAAAACCUCUCAGGCAUUCACAAAAGCUCGAUGAAUUUCCUUGAAAGACUCCAAAAACCCCGCAUAAACCAUAAAAUUCAGCUUGGUCUCCUGGUUGAGCACAAAAAAGAGCCCAAAAAAGACCCCAAUCAAACCAUGCGAGUUGUUGCAUCUGUCCUGAAACAUCAAUCACGGUUCUUGAAAGAUAUGAGUUAUUGUACAAAGAAUAGGUGAAGUAGCUUUCAUUUUCAUUUGAUACAUAACUAUAGUUGAAAGUAUGGCUCGAUGUCAUCUCAGGUACCAAGGCAAAUCUUUCUCCAUCCCAAUCACCACUGCUCCAAUACCUGUGUGACCUGUUCCACUCUAUGAAAAGCUGACUGCUUCCAUUAGGGUCGAUCCCAAUCGAGAACAUACCUGGUGCAGGGUCUUCUGCGUUUUUCCAGGAAAUAAGCCGCUGCACUUGCCCAGUGUGCUUGUUGAUUCCAAGCUUUCCACCAGGUAGCCAUGUGUCAGUUGGAUAAUCGAAACUCUGCCAAUAUAUGGUAGCUGGAUUUGAGCCAUCUCUUACGACAAAGUUUCCAUCAUCAAGAAGUACUGCUUCUGCUGUACUAGUAUUCGACAUUGAAGAUGCAAGAGCUGUUGACCAAACUGUUUUGGUGAAAUAUGUCUGUAGGACAAGAUUGCCAUCAGAUAACAAUUCAAGCUUCGAUGAAGCAGGGUAGUUGGAAGGGCUCUCCCUAUUUGCUACCCAAACAGUCGCCUUAUAUCCGAAGUUCUUAUACCAUAUUCCCAGGUAAAUGCUUAAAGAAGCGCCUGGCUGGAAGAAACCGAGUUCAAAAGCGCCGUUUCGAGAUAUUAGGGUCUCGCUUGCAGAGAGAGAUUGGCCAACCAAAAGGGUAUCACCUACAAUGGAGAAGCAAGUCCUAUGGGAAACGAAUAGCAACAACAGCAUAAAGAGCAAAAAACGUGGCUUUGUCUCAACACACAUCCUUUCUAAUUCGUGGGAUUAAGGGUGAAAGAGCUGUGACUGAGCAUGAAUCAGAGAAAGAGGAAGGGAAAAAAAAGAAAUCCCCUGUGAAUUCAUCAACUAUAUGAUAAUGCUCUAGAUCUCUUGUCAUAUUGUAGCUGUCAGCUCUUACCAAUAAUUUUCCACAUUGACUUGGACUUUCCUUUUCUCGGUAUCCUCUCCAAUUAGAGGCUAUGCCAUUUGUUUAAUGAGUCAUGUAAUGCUGAAAUGGGGGUUGAAUUUUCAAAUUACAGUAAAAAUAUCAAUAAUAUAAGGCAUUGAAGAAAGAGAACUUUUUUUUUUUUGAAAUCUAGAACUUAAAUGUAAAUUUCUAUACAAUAUAUUUUUGUUUAUUGUUUUUACUUAUAUUUUAUUGAAAUUCUUGAUCUAGAUUCAGUUUCAAGUGUAUUAUAUGCUCUUAGUUUUUUUUUUUUGAAAAAAAAUCAUUGGUGCUCUAGAGUGUUUUCAUUGUAUUUUAAAAAUUGUAUCGAGGAAGAGCAGAGAAAGAGAGAGGGGUGUAUUAUAUGCUCUCGCUUUCCCUUUUGAAUUUAGCAACUAUGAGAAUACUCUGUCUCUAACAUAUUGUUGCUAUCAGCUUUCCCUUUUCGACGUUGACUUGGACUUCACGUUCGCACUAUCCCCUCCAAUUUAAGGCUUUGGCAUUGUAUUUUUUGAGUCACGUUAUCAAUAAUAUAAUGCAUGAAAGAAAGAGAAAUUUAGAUUUUUCAAAGCCAAAAACAUAAAAUAUCACAACAGCACGUGAAAAGAUACAAUUGAAAAAAAGAAAUCAUUUAUUAAAACAUAAAAUAAAAAGAAAAUGGCUCUGUCAUCGACAAUGCAUGGUGAAAGGAGACAUGUAGGCUGUCGUAUGUGCAAGAAUUUCAAAGUGCAAGAAUCUUGUAUAAGUAAAGACAAAAACAAGCAGACAGACUUAGUAUUAAGAAAUUUAUUUUAACCUUGCUCGAAAAUCUGGACAAAACAGUCUCGAGGUUGAAGAUUAUUAAAUUUUAUUUUAAUUCUUGAUUUAUGAAAAUUAUAGUUUAGUUUCUAAAAUUUAAAAAUAUUAUAAUCUGAUCCCUAAAUAUAUUUUGAGAUUCUGAACAAUGUUAUUAUGAGGUUAAAAAUGAUGAAUCUCAGUUUGAUAAUUGAUUUAGAAUAUUUUUAGGUUUUUCCCUCAAUUUUGAAAAUUUACAUUUUAGUCCCUGAACUUUAUAAAAAUUACAGUUCAGGCCCUAGUUCGUUCUAGACAGAAUUGAGGAUGGUUUAUUGGUGGAAUUUCAGUAUGCUUAUCUAUUUACAUUUUGGUCCUCUAAUUUUGAAAAAAUUAUGUUUUGAUCCCUGUUUUGAAAAAUUAUCGUUUUAGUCUCUAAACUUAGGAGACUAAACCUGGUUUUCUUUCAUGCGUUGGAAUAUUUUAUUUGUGUUCUUUUGAGUUGCUAUUGAGUAUAUUUUUAUAUUUGUGUAGGUUCUCCUAACGAUACUCAAUAGAUUUUUCAAGUCUUUCAUUUGAUAUUCCUUUUAAUCUAUAUUUUUCCGGGUGAGAUGGGAUAAUUUUUAAUAUACAUAUAAUAUAAAUAAAUAUGUAUAUUGAUUAUACGAUGAGUACGCCUAGUUAAUUUCUUGAAUAUUUAUAUAUUUUAUUUUAUUUUUCGAGUACUUAUUUAUUCUUGAAUUUGCACUCGUAAUCUAUCGAACUAAAUUUCAUUUGAUAUAAUAUAUGUUUCUUUGAUCAUUCUAUGAAUAUCUAUUAUGUCUUGAUAUAGAACUUGUCAAUAACUCCAUUCUAAAAUAUAUAUUGUUGUUUUAAUGUUUAGUCAAAACAAUUAAUUUUAUAUAUAAAAAUUUUUUAAAAAUAAAUGAAUCUGAUAUUAUUAUAUUUCACCCAGAUUUAAUUAGAUUAAUUACUGGAUUUAAUUCCCAACUCAAUUCAAAAAAUCAAAACAAUCCAGGCCAGGUUUGAUUUGACGGGUCAUCUGAUAUUAAUAUUGAUGAUUAAAGUAAACACUAUUACUGAUUAAAGUAAUCACAUGUUGCUAAAUAAAAAAUAUUAUAUAUCAAGAUAAACUUGCCACAGCAUGAUCUCUCAUUUACAGCUUUUAAUAAAAAUCUAGCCUCUGGAAUUCAACUGCUACGCCUACUAUAAUUACAUGUAAUUAAGUGCAUCUAAGACUGUAUACCUAAUUAUUAAACCUUUUUCCCCAUGACCCUCCCUGGUUCCUACAUAAAUCCAAUGAUAUCUUGGUAUUAAAAGAAACAAUCAUCUGGCAUCUAUCGCUGUUAUUGUCACAUUAGUAACGGAAGAUGCCCCAGCAGAGCUCAUCAAUUGAUGACCUUGGUUCUGCCAUGUUUCUGCCUGCAACAAACGCAGGUUGCUAGGGUUCCGGGAGAGAUACGCGGUCCUUUACAAUCAUGGAGAUGACAUCAGACAUUGUAGUCCGAUCAUCAGGGAUUUGUUGGACACAAAGGAGUCCUAUGUUUAUGUAUCUCAACAACGUAGAAGUUGAAGGAGGAUCUCCCAGGCUUGGAUCCAUCAAGUCCAAAGCUUUAUUAGAAUAUUUCCAUAACUUCCAUGCCUAUGGUAUAACAACGCAAAGUUGCAUCGUUAGAGUGGAGACUAGGAACGUAAUCAAAUAAAAUUCAAGCAGGAAGAAAAAGAAAAAGGGAGUAUAUGAAAGCUUCCCACAUGUUCAAGAAGAUGGAGGGAGUCGCUGUGGUAGAAACUAGUAUUCUUCUCGCCGCUCACAAUCUCAAGUACCAGCAACCCGAAGCUAAACACAUCAGAUUUUAUUGAGAAGAGACCCUCCAUAGCAUAUUCAGGGGACAUAUUGUUGGGAUUUGCCAUUAAUGGGCAACCUACCCUAAGGGGUAGGGUUAUCAUUUGUCAAUGGUGGUUGCACCCACCAUUGACAAAUAUAUUAACUCCCAUGUGGUUAAAGUGGCAUUGUUCCUCUUCUUCUUCCCCCCGAACCUGCAACAGAAGGAAGGAAACUUUGUUUUUGUUUUUGAAAAUCCUUCCCGCCUCUCUCUCCUCGCCCCCGAAGCCCCACAAGACCACCGAACGGGUCACUGGCCGGCCAGCCGUUGCGUGAUUGAAGGCGCACUAGCAAAAGGCACACUGCUCCUUUUUCCCCCUAUAAAUAGAGAGAGACCGAAGAAGAGAGAGAGACCGGAGGAUAGAAAAAAAAAAGACAGAGAGGGGGAUUUUUUUGGACGAGAGAGGGCUUUUGGAAACUGAAAGGAGAGGGAAGUUUGAAACGAUGAAAGAUACUGUGAGAGUAUAGAAAAGAGAGAAACCAAAACAGAGGACGGGAGGUGAAGUUUUUGAGCGGAGACAGAGGAGAGGGCCAAAAACAGAAGAUAAGGAGCCGCUGCAGAGGAACAGUUGCUGUCACCGGGCUCCCCAGCCACCGACCACCAUCCAGGUCGCCACCACCAGCAUCUCCACGAAGCUGCUGCAGGGAUAUGAGAGUUUGGUUGACAGAAGGAGCAAAGGCAACCAAAGAGAAGAAGACAGGGAAGCUUGAAACAGAAGCAGAGAAGAACACAGAAGCAGCAGGGAAGAGGAAGAGCCAACCUUCGGUCAGCAAGCGCCAGCAAAACAGCCACCAGCACCACCGUCAGCUCCUCUACCCAAGCUCAUCGUCGCAGGUAACUCUUCCCCUUAUCCCGUAUUCGUCUUCUUGCAUGCAGAACGUGCACUGUGCACGUUCUGCAAGUAAGAAAUUAAUUAGCUGGUUACUGUGUGCACAGUAACCAGCUAAUUAAUUCCCCGGUUAUUAUGCAUGUCUAAUUAAUUACCAGGUUACUGUGCAGGUGCACAAUAACCACCUAAUUAAUUAACUGGUUACUGUGUAGGUGCACAAUAACCAGUCAAUGUUCAUUUCGGGCUGGAAUAUCAGCCCAGCCCAGGUGGCUGGACUGUAGAAAGUAGGCUUGUUUUAUUUCGUGCCUAUUUUGGCAUGUACUCAUAGAUUAGCAUUUUCUCAUCCCGUUCAAUACAGGAACCCAGUAGCCUGACAAGAUUCCGGUGCUGGAGUUUGGCGAUUAGAAUUGUCUCAUUUCUGAACUCCUCAAGCCCCUGCCCAGAUCUUUCUGAAAGCCUCUUCACUGCUAUUUCCAGUCCCUUGGAUAAUUUUCCCUAUUAAAUGAACCAAAAGUAAUUCUCAAAGUUCAUUCAAACUAUUUUAAUUUUUUUCUGAAAAGGUUAGAAUAAUCAUUUGAACGUAACUUACCUUAUAAACAGGUCCAAAUCCUCCCUCUCCAAGCUUGUCUGAGAAUUGUCCAGUUGCAACUGAUACGCUCUCAUAGCUGAACAAUGGCAAUUCCAUAUUCUUACUCCAUCUAUUCUUCCGCUUGUCAACAGAGCUAGAUUCUUUGUUAGUUGAGCUAGGAUCGGUAUCGAAAUCAAAGAGCAAUAAAUCGUGACCUGCAUAUUCCUUCCCUGUUUAAGAAAAAAUUAAAAAUUACCGAACACAAUCACUUUGUUAAAAUAUCCAGCAAUUCUGAUUAUAUCAACCAAAAAUGAAACCACUCCAGGUUAUAAUAACCACAAUUUCCGAUAUUAAAAGGGAUUCCAAUUGUCAAUUUCUGUCAUGAAAAAAGAAACUUUGGUGUUUGUUUGGUGUUAGAUAUUUUACCCACAGACAAACUUUUACGUUUUGAACAUUUUAUAUGAGAAGUUUUUCGGAGAUGUGUUGGUUUACAGGAGACAAACACACGAAAAUCAGAUUUCAGUUAAAUUUUUUAGGCCGUCUUCAAUUCAAAAACAUGUCUUAACAAAAUUAACCUUAUCAUCUUCAUACCCAGCACAAAAUUACGGAGGAGGAGGGCUUUUUUUUAGUUUUUAUUACAGUGUCUUAACCUAAUUUUUUAUUCUUUUAUUUUAUUUUAUUUUUAAAAAAAUAAUAAUAAAAUAAACGAUGAUAAAAAAAUGAAAAAAUAAAUGAAAUGAAGAAAAUGAAAAAAUGAAUGAAAUAGAAAAAAAUGAAAUGAAUGAAGAAUAAAUCGAAAUUUAGGUACAAUGGCAAUUCCAUAUUCUUACUCCAUCUAUUCUUCCGAUUGUCAACAGAGCAAGAUUCUUUGUUAGUUGAGCUAGGAUCGGUUUCGAAAUCAAAGAGCAAUAAAUUGUGACCUGUAUACUCCUUCCCUGUUUAAGAAAAAAUUAAAAAUUACUGAACACAAUCACUUUGUUGAAAUAUCCAGCAAUUCUGAUAAUAUCAAGCAAAAAUGUACAAUUUCAAACAUUAAAUUAAAAAGUAUUCUAAACAUCAAUUGUUUUUAUGAAUAAGAAACUUCGGUGUUUGCUUGGCGUAAAAUAUUUUAACAUUUUACUUUAUAUGGAUAAAAUUUUACUAAGCUUAGUAUGUAAUGAUAUAAAAAAUACAAUGGUAUUAGAAUGAUUAAAAUGUUUUAUGGUGAUGAGAUGGUUGUGAUAGUGAUUACUGAUUAUGAUUAUAGUGGUAAUAAAGGUUCAGGUGGGGAUGGAGGGGGGGUGGUGGUGGUGGUGAUAAUUGUGAUAUGGUGAUGGCGGCGGUAGCAACAACGAUGGUAACAGACACCGCGUUAGUAGUUACAGUGGAGGUCCUGGCAGCAAGGUAGUGGUGGUUGAAAUCAUUGCAUGAUAUUGUAAUUAGAUCACUGUUAGUAAAAUAUUUUAUAGAAAUUUGUAAGGUGAAAAUUACUUGAAGUUUAAUGAUAGACUGUAAAUUUUAAGGGAAACAAGUACAUGAAUAUCAUAUAUACAUAUUUCAGUGAAACUCUUACACAAAACAGUCUCUAUUUCAACACAACACACACACACACAAACUAACUCCAACAAAAUGAACCUUAUUAUCUGCAUAGUAAUAAAGCAGGGCUUUUUCGUACUUUUCAUCGCUAUAACUUAAGGGUUAAUUAAGUCUACCAGGAGACAGCAGAAAUUAAAGCAAGAACAGGAUGUACCUUUGUGUAUGAGCUUUCCCUUGCGCAGACAGCUGAAGUAUAUGAGAGGCCUAAGGUAAUCAGAGUUACUGAACAGCCACAGCCAAGGUUACCCAUAUUAUCCUUCUGAUAUUACCUACUUGAAAACAUAGAUCAAAUAUUAACCAAAUCAUAAACCAACACAUUUACAAUUAAAAGUUUUUUGAAGUAGAAAAAAAUGGAAAGAUAGGUUAUGGGUUGCGUCCACCCUUUUAUCUGGAAAGACUACACCUUAUUUUGUGAAAAAUAGUUGCUCAACAUUUAUUUUAUCAUUUAUGGCUAUAUAGAUACAACCUUCUUACCAUACCUAUUCCCACUACCAGUCUCAAGUUCAAGCUCAGAAGCAGCAAAUCUGAUGUAAAUUUCUGCUUCAGUCCUGCCACCAGCAACCUCUGCCCGUUGGAAGUUUAUAAGAGCUCCAUCCCAUAAAAGACACUCACCAUUAUUAUCAUUAUAGGCAUAAGCCAUGCAAGAACAAUUUUCAAUGAAAUCCAAUUUGCAUCUUUCAUAACUCACUUUCUGAUAUGCUUUUGAAUUUCCUGGUAAUGUUAGAUUUGUUGGAAUAUUGCCAAUUAUGUUGACAUUGUCAAAGAAGGGGUUGGUGGCAACCACCAACCUUGACUUUGGUAGCCAUCUUUGUUGAAGAAGAGAUGAGUUUGGCAGCCACCAUUGAUGACAAAGUAGCAAGAGGAGCUGUCAUUGAAGCCUAUAAAUAGACACCAAGAGUGCAUCACAAAAGAGAGAGAGAGUCUUGUAGGAGAGCUACAAAAGAGAGAAGAAGAGAGAAAGAAAGAGAAGGGCUGCCACCAGCAGCCCUGCUGCCCUAUGCAGCUGCUACCCUAUGUAGCAAAGAGAGAUGAGAGUUGAGUGAUGAGAUCCUCCUUCAUGUAUUAUUGUAUUCUUUCUCUAUCUCUAAAUAAAAUGAACCUCUCCCGUGGAUGUAGGCAAUUUGCCGAACCACGUUAAAUAUUGUGUCUCAGUGUGCUUACCCCUCCUAUGAGCAAAGAUCAGUACAUCACCGGUCCCGGAUUCCGCACAUCAAGAUUCGACAUCUUUAAAAACCCAUCAUUUGACACUGCAAUAUUUUUCCUAUGUUGACAAUGCAAAGGAGACAUCCUAAGGCAACCACUUGACCAAUCAUUUGCUACAAAUGGUCUAAAACCACUGAGACAUCCACAAGGAGUUGAUGAAUUUACAUCAAAGACUCCAAAAGCCCCAAAUAAACCAUAAACACCAGCUUGGUCCCUUGGUUGAGCCCAAAAAAGAAACCAAUCCCUAAAAUCUCGCGAAGAACUGAAUUGUUUGAUCUGUCCUGAAACAUCAAUCACGGUUCUUGAAAGAAUUGAGGUAUCGUACAAAGAAUAGGUGAAAUAGCUUUCAUUUUCAUUUAAUACAUAACUAUAAUUGAAAAUAUAGUUCAAUCUCAUCUCAGGUACCAAGGUAAAUCUUUCUCCAUUCCAAUCACCACUGCUCCAAUACCUGUGUGACCUGUUCCACUCUAUGAAAAACUGACUACUUCCAUUUGGGUCGAUCCCAAUCGAGAACAUACCUGGUCCAGGAUCUUCUGAGUUUUUCCAGGAAAUAAGCCGCUGCACUUGCCCAGUGUGCUUGUUGAUUCCAAGCUUUCCACCAGGUAGCCAUGUGUCUGUAGAAAUUUGCAAGUUUAUAGGAAGAACAAGUGUUUGCAGAGAAGAAGAAGAAUGUAUUUUCUGUAUUAUGUAUAUACAUUUCAUUUAUGCAGAACUCAGCUUUUAUACAAUUUAUGUAACUGAUUCUGUUAUUUUAAGAAUCAACAUCAUCUCAUCCAUACACUAAUGGAGGGACAUGAUUCUUGGAUAUUUGUAACAGUUUCGUAACAGUUUUGUAACAGUAAAAACUGAUAUAACAGUAAUAACGGUUUUAACUACCUCUCUAACUGUUUUAACAGAAUUUCUGCAACUUCUUCUUCCUUCUUGCUACAGUCCACGUAUUCUUCUUCAAGUACUUCAGUCGCAAGUAAUCAGCUUAGCUUUCAACAGCCUCUCCUAAGCUGUUUACUGAUUUAACUCCAAGAUCUAGUCUUAGUUUCUUAAAUUGUCUUUGGGUAAUGCCUUUGUGAAGAUGUCUGCAAGUUGUUCUUCACUUCUGCAGAACUUGACAUUAAUUACUCCUUGCAGAGCCUCUCUUAUAAAGUGAUACUUCCUGUUUAUGUGUCUUGUUCUUUGAUGAAAAACUGGAUUCUUAAAUCGUGUUUAUGAACUUGACAAAACGGCACCGUUCCUCCUUCGUCUUCCUCUCUGCACUCGUUGCAGGGGAGAAGAAAAAUGGUUUUUUCUUCAAAAUCUUCCCGCCUCUCUCUCCUUGGACCCACCGACCAACCCGAAACACUGGACCACCGACCGAACUCAAUGGCCGACCACCGGUCACUCGCCCCGCCGAAAGCAAGGUGGCGGUGCUUUUCCUUGCAGAUGGUGGCCGACCAGCCGCCCGCGAAACCCGCUCCCCAUGCGCACUAAUGAAGGGCCCAACAACCUUUCUCUCUUAUAAAUAGAGAAAAAACCAAAGGUGCAAAGGGGACCGAUAAGAAAAAAGAAACCGAAGGGAGGAGAGAGAGAGGAGACCGAAGAGAGAGAAAGAACGAACGAAACAGAGGGGAGAGCAGCAACAAACCGAAAACAAAUAAACCGAAACCGAAAACCAAAAACAAACCGAAGCGGAGAAAGCCACUGAGAACGGAAGAAAAAGAAAGAAAGGGGAAGAGGAAGAAACUUCUCGCCACCGUUGGGAACGACAGCAACACCGCCCGGAGCCGCCGCCCAUGAGCCACGCCACCGCAGCACCGCCAGCGACCGCGUCCUCCACGCCAGGUAAAUUUUCUUCUUCUCCUUCGUUUGCAGGCGUCGCCUCCUGCAUGCAGAGUUAUGCAUGCAGGAGGCGGGGGGGGGAAGAAAAUUAAUUCUCCCCCCCUGCUGGGCUGUUAACGCUGGGCCAGCCCAAUGCUGGCCCAGCCCCUGCACGUCUGGGCCGGUCCUUGCCCAGACUGAAGAAGAAUUUUUGGUUGGGCCGAGUUCGGCCCAACCUUUCCUUGUUGGGUUGAGUCCAGCCCGUUUAUUUGGGUCGCCCCAGCCCGAAUUGUUUUUAUAUUAUAUAUUAUAUAAUAUGUUAUAAUAUAUGUGUGUAUAUAUGAAUAUAUAUAUAAAAAUGUAAUAAUUAAAAAACAAAUAUUUUGAAAAAUCUUAAAAAAUAUUGUUGAUUUUUCUGCAUAUUUUUGUCAAAGUGGUUCAAUGUUGGUUUGUAUUUUUAUACAGUAAAGAUACAAAACCAGUGUUAAAAAUACCCGGUUUUCGUCAAAAUAUCAAAUAUUUUCAGAAUAAAAAAUGUUUUUGCUUUCAAAAAAAUUCUAAAAAGUCGCCAGCCGAUGCCGCGCGCCGGGAUUUUUUUUGGGGUGUGACAAUUCCAGUGAUGACUCUUUCUUCUUUAGCAUAAUUUGCAAGUUGUUUGUGAUUCUGACUUUCACAAUCCUUUGCAAUAUGGCCAAACCGAUUGCAUCUUCCACAUCUUGGCUUUCCUUUGUGUCUGCAUAAUCCAAAGUGUUGCUUCUAGCAAACUUGGCAUUGUGGUUUUACACUCAUUUGACUACUUCCACCGGCAGUGUUGUUCCAGCUUGAAUUAUUGUAAUUGGAUCCAUUUCUGAUUGGAAAUGAAUUUGGUCCUCUCCUGUCCUGUGAUUGCCAUCUUGGAGGAGGUCUGCUUUGGAAACCCUUAUGUGAGCUGUAGGCUAGAUUGCUUCCAAUCUUUACACUGCUAAAUGCUUUCUCUGUUGUUGUUAGCUUAUCCCUUUCAUCAUGUAGAUCCUCCCUCUUGUCAUAAACUUUCACAGAGGCAAUGACUUCUUCUGCUCUCAGUACAUCAAGAUCUCGUGUCUCUUCAAUGAUUGACACAAUGGACUUAUACCUUCUGCUUAGACUCAUUAGCAAUUUCUGCACAAUUCUAUUUUCUGAUACAUCUUCUCCUAAUGAUUUCAGAUUAUUCACAGUUGCAAAGAAUUUAGCUAGAUAUCCAUCUAAGCUUUCGUUUUCUGCCAUUCUCAGGUAUUCAAAAUCAGCUCUCACUGCUUGGAGUUUUACAGCUCUAACCUUUUUAUCUCCUCUGAAUUCUCUGCUUAAGAUGUCCCAUGCUCCUUUUGCAGUUUUCUCAUUUCUUAUACGUGGGAAAAGAUCAUCUGUUAAUGCUCCUUGUAUGAGGCUUAAAGCCUUUGCAUUCUUGAUUUUUUCUUCUCUGGAUGUCGUGGAUGCAUGCAUUAUAAUUUGAUCAGCUUCACUCUCUUCAUCGCCUGAUCCACCUGCAAUCUCAGGUGAUUGAUGAGGUUUUAUUCCAACUUCUAUUACUUCCCAUAGAUCAAAUGCUAUGAGGACAGUCUCCAUUUUUACAGCCUAAAAAUCAUAAUUUGUGCCAUUAAACUGUGGAGUUCUUAAAUCUCCUCCAGCUGCACUUGAUCCUACCAUUUUUGAGUAAUUAACAAUUUAUUCAAUCUGUUUUUCACAGUCUACGCCCCUCUUAGGAAUCAGUUUGUGAGCUCUGAUACCAUGUAAAAAUUUGCAAGUUUAUAGGAAGAACAAGUGUUUGCAGAGAAGAAGAAGAAGAAUGUAUUUUCUGUAUUAUGUAUAUACAUUUCUGCUUUUAUACAAUUUAUGUAACUGAUUUUGUUAUUUUUAGAAUCAACAUCAUCUCAUCCAUACACUAAUGGAGGGACAUGAUUCUUGGAUAUUUGUAACAGUUUCGUAACAGUUUUGUAACAGUAAAAACUGAUAUAACAGUAAUAACGGUUUUAACUGCCUCUCUAACUGUUGUAACAGAAUUUCUGCAACUUCUUCUUCCUUCUUGCUACAGUCCACGUAUUCUUCUUCAAGUACUUCAAUCGCAAGUAAUCAGCUUAGCUUUCAACAAGUUGGAUAAUCGAAACUCUACCAAUAUAUGGUAGAUGGAUUUGAGCCAUCACUUACGACAAAGUUUCCAUCAUCAAGAAGUAUUGCUUCUGCUGUACUAGUAUUCGACAUUGAAGAUGCAAGAGCUGUUGACCAAACUGUUUUGGUGAAAUUCAUCAGCAAGACAAGAUUGCCAUCAGCUGACAGUUCAAGCUUCGAUGAAGCUGGGUCGUUUGAAGGGCUCUCCCUGUUUGCUACCCAAACAUAUAUCUUAUUUGCGAACUUCUUAUACCAUAUUCCCAGGUAAAUGUUUACUGAAGUGCCUGGCUUGAAGAAACCGAGUUCAAAAAUGCCGUUUUGAGAUAUUAGGGUCUCGCUUGCAGAGAGAGAUUGGCCAACCAAAAGGGUAUCACCUACAAUGGAGAAGCAAGUCCUAUGGGAAACGAAUAGCAACAACAGCACAAAGAGCAAAAAACGUGGCUUUGUCUCAACACACAUCCUCUCUAAUUCGUGGGAUUAAGGGUGAAAGAGCUGUGACUGAGCACGAAUCAGAGAACGAGGAAGGGAAAAAAACAAGAAAUCCCUUGUGAAUUCAUCAACUAUAUGAUAAUGCUCGAGAUCUCUUGUCAUAUUGUAGCUGUCAGCUCUUAGCAAUAAUAUUCCACAUUGAAAAAAAUAUCUCCCAUCUAUCGCUGUUAUUCACGGAAGGUACCCCAGCUCAUCAACGGUCUUUGUUCUGCCACGUUUCUGCCUGCAACAAAAGCAGCAGGUUGCUUAGGUUCUGGGAGAGCUGCUUGUUCAUUUACAAUCAUGUGUGUCACACCCGACAUCGCGGCGGCUCUAAAAAUUAAUUUUAAAUCUUCGGAAAGAACGGAUUUCUGGCAUCCUGUUCUUUGAUGGGAAUAUUCUUGUUUAAGGAGUCGCCACCUAGUAUUAUGGUCACUAGGAACCCUAACUGGCCAACAGAGAUUCUAUUGUACGUGACUGGUUACGUAAAAAGGAAAGAUAUUAUCACCCCUUAAACGUCCUGCCUAAGGCAGGCUGCAUUGCUAUUAUUUGUCAUUUAUUACUAACAUAUAUUUUUCAUAUCAUGAUGGUUUGCAUAUAAUAUUCCUGACUCUGACGUCAGUGAAUAUUAAACUACAGAUAUUUCCAACUCUGGCGUUGGUAAAUAUUACGUAGAUAUCAGAGUGAAUAAAUUUAAAUAAUUACCUUUUUUUUCCUGACUCUGGCGUUGGUGAAUAAACAAAUAAAAAUCAAUUUAUAUUUGUUAUUUUUACUCAUGCAGAUUAUUUUUAUUUUUACGUAGCUAAAUAAAGGUAAAAAUACAAUAAAAUAAAAUAAAAUAAAUUUUUAUUAGUAUUUUUUAUUCCUGACUCUGGCGUCAGUGAAUAAACCAAUAAAUUUAUUUUAUUUUAUGUUAUUAUAUUUUUUUGCAUGCAAUUUUUAUUUUUUAGCUAGAUAAAAUGCAACGAAUAAAAAUAAUAUAAAUUUAAACCGUUGUUUUUUAUUCCUGACUCUGGCGUCAGUGAAUAAACCAAUAAAUUUACAUUAUUUUUAUUCAUGCAUAUGCAUUUUUUUAUUAUUUUUAUUUUAUUUUUUUUUAUUUUUUUUUUGGGGCUGGGCUGAACCCAGCCAGUCCGGACCGGGUCACUGGCCCAAGCCAGUGACCCAGUUUUAAAAACAAAACAGAUGCACGCGUGAUACAGAUCACGCGUGCAUCAACAGUGCGAAGGUAAUUAAAUUACCUUCGCACUGUUCAAACGUUAUUUGAAUCAACGAAGAACAGAAAAGAAAGAAAAAAAAUGUAUAGCGAAGGCGCACCUGUUUCUGGCGAUUGAAGAAGAUCGCGAUGCUGGUGACUGUUGCCCUCGUCCGGCUACUCUCCCUUCUCUCCCCGCUGUGACCUCUCUGUUUUCCUUGCUUUUGAUUUCUCGAUUCUCAGUGUGAAGAAGCUGAGAGGUAAUGGGUUCUUUGAGGUUUUUUACUGAUUUCGGGUUGCUUUUUCUGCAGGGAUUCUCCUAAUGGCGAAGAUAAUUCUCCUUUUUAGUCUGGUUUCUCGUUCUUGCUUUCAAUCUGUUUUUUUUUUUUGCUCUGUUUUCUCGUUGUUCUCUGUUUUUUUUUCUGGGUUGUAUUUUUGAUUGCUCUGUUUUUCUCUAGGUUUCCUCCUUCUCUCUGGUGUGCCUUCUCUCCUUUUAUAGAGACCCAGCCCCUAACCAGUCCUGCCUUUGCAGGACUGUUAUCUUCCACGAACGAGAUCGUGGGCGAGAGCCGUGAUCCACGAUUGGAUCAAAUCCGUUGCAGAUUUUCAGCCUGUUGAAUCGGGAUGGAGAAGACGAACACGGCUAUUCCACCAGCAACGACGACGUUUUGGCAACACUGUAUUCCUAGUAUCAACGGCAUCGUUUCGGCAACAGUGGCAUUUUCAUUUUGACCCCUGAACUUUGGAAUUGUAACCGUUGGAUCUCAAUUGAAUAAAAAUUCCUUUUAAUUUUGCCCCUUUUUUAUAAGUUUCAAUUAAAUCCCUCAAUUGGUG
rnacentral:lncRNA from 1 species